rnacentral:lncRNA from 1 species
GUCUGAGAAGGUUUUUAAAUAUCAGGGGUAUUUUUCGUACAUCCCCUCUUGAUGAAUUUUCAAAUAUCAGGGGUAUUUUUCCUACACCCUCUGCCUUGGUGAAUAUUAAAGUUUCUUCAAUUUUGGAGGAUUUAGCUUACCAUGGUGGUGUGACCGAAAGACCCCUGCACCCUCAAGACCUCUUCUGCUGCCAUUUUCGGAGACUGAGAGGAUUUUUAAAUAUCAGGAGUACGGUAUUUUUCCUACACCUCCUGCCUCGGUGAAUUUUCAAAAUAUCAGGGGUAUUUUUUCUACAAUCCAUGCCUUGGUGAAUAUUAAAGUUUCCUCAAUUAUGGAGGAUUUAGCUUACCUUGGUGGUGUGACCGAAAGGCCUCUGCACCCUCAAGGCCUCUUCUGCUUCCGUUUUCGAAGACUGAGAGGAUUUUUAAAUGUCAGGGGUAUUUUUCCCAAACCCCCUGCAUCGGUGAAUUUUCAAAAUAUCAGGGGUAUUUUUUCUACACCCCUUGGUGAAUUUUUUUUUGUCGAACACUUAUGUCGACUUCUGAAAAAGUCGAGCUCUUGCGUGGACUUCUGAAAAAGUCGAUUUGUAAAUUUGUUAUUAUUUUGAUGCUUUAUUGAAGAUUGUUAUGGAUCUUCGAGAUCUAUAAAUAGUCCCUUCAUGCCUCUCUUUUCUCCUCAUCCAUGACUCUUCUGCUCUUCUUGUUAGUCUUUUUGCUGAUUUUGUUCAGGGAGAGAUUGAGGAGUUGGAUCGAAUUUUAAAUACUUUGGAUCCUCGGGUUUCUGCCUUGGAUCUUCCCUCUCUACACCAAAUAAUAGUUGAGCGACAGAAUAUUGUUGUUGAAACCGCCGGUUUGCAUCUCUUCAUCUCCACAUCUACUGCCGGCGAGUUUAAUUCAUUGGUUGCUGGACUUCGAAUUUGGUAUAUCUUUCUUCUAUUUCUUCUUAUAGAUCCCACAGAUCUGUAAACUCUACAGAAUCUAUCGGACUAUUUCUUCAAAAAACUGGGAAUGUUCUGAUUUAAUCUGGACUGCUUGUUUGUCGAUGAUUUAUAUGAAAUGCUUGAUUUUUUAGUUUUUUUGAAACUUCAAAUUUAUUGUACUGGUUGUUUACUCUUAGUUGAUUCCAUAAAAUUUCAUGUUUUUGGGACACUCUGAAUUUUGAGGCUUUGGAAUGUUCUGAUUUUUUUGGAAUGUUUUGAUUUUUUCAUUCUUUUUUGAGAAUGUUCUAAAUGAUCUAAAUUGUUUUUUAAUUCAUUCAGUAUCAUUUUUAUUCUGUUUUUGAAUUCAUACAAUAUUAGUUGUAUUCUGUUUGCCUUUCAUUUGUGGAGAGAAGUGAUCUUGGUGUCUUUCUUAGUUUUUAAAAUCUUUAACAAACUCAUAUCUUCUUUAGAUAAUAUCAUGAUGAGAAUCCCCUUUUACCUUUAGGUGAUACAUCAUUUUUAAUUAUGAUUUGCAUAUCAUUUUUAUAAACUAAAUAAAAAACUUUGUAUGAUUUACUGUCUUUUGAACUAUGUAAUCUAUCGAUGAUUCCAAUAAGAUAUAGCACUCAGAUAUGUUUUUAACCAUUUUUUCAUGAAAUAAUUAAGCAAUUUUUAAAACAAUUAGAAACGUUCAUAUAAGUGUACUUCUGAUUUUUAGAAUAAAUUUUAUAUUUUCCUUAUAUUUCAGAUCUUAUAUCUAUUUUGCUUAUGUUAGUGUAUUAAUUAAUUUUUUUCUUUUCAGAUUUUGUGAUUGGGAAAAAAUUUUAGGAAAUUAUUUUGGUAUGUUAUGUGAUUGUAUGUCUUUUAUGUGUUAAAUUUAUUUGAUUAUUUGAGAAAUAACUCAAUAAUUUUUUAUGUGUAGAAUUUUUUUAAAUUUGAUGACCAAGAUCGUGCUCGAAUUGCAUUCAAUCAUUGCUUAACUAUUAAUUAUCCUAAAUGGCUUAGCAAAACGAGAAAGGAUGCAAAGAGCAGUGCUGGUGUCUCUGAACUUGAUGAGACUUGCAAAAAUUUUCCUCCAACAUACAUUACAAAAGAAAAAUAAGGAUCAAUGAUGGACAAGUUUUUGGCACCAGAGUUAUAGAAAAAUCAAAAAAGAAUUCAGAAUAUCAAAAUAAAAACGAAGAUUAUUUGGUGUACAAGGGUGGAUCGGCUUCUUUUGAAACCAACUCUCAUGCAUUAGUAAGGUUAAAUAUUAAAUUCAUUUCGAUUUAAAUAUUUUAUGAAUUUUUUUAACUAGUUUUUAUCUACUAUGUAGGGCCCUUCCCAAUUGGCUCCUGGUUUUUCCUUUGAACAUUCUUUUCGGGUAAUGCUUGCUCUUCUUAGGACCAAAUUCCUUUCCUUAUUGUUUUAUCUUUGACAUUCUUGUCAUGAUACUUGGCGACGCUUUGUUUGUGCGUUAUCCCGUAACUCGUCUACCAAGUCUAGGGAUGUCACACAUAAUCUCAUGUUUUCUUGUAUGUCAUAUGUCAAGACCCUGAUAGUUGGGACACUGAGUUCUGUUGGGAUUAGUGCUUUCAUUCCAUAUGCUAGUGAAAAAAGGGUUUCUCCGGUGGGUGUUUUCUCCGUGGUUCUAUAUGCCCAUAGGAUUUCUGGUAGUAGAUCGGCCCACACACUUUUGGCUUGUUCGAACUUUUUCUUCAGUCCCUGGACAAUUGCUCUGUUUGUGACCUCUACUUGCCCAUUACCUUAUGGUCGAUAUACCGAUGAGAAUGGAUCUUUGUGCCCAUAUUAUCGCACAAUCUUGUAAACUCCCAACCAGUGAAUUGUGUCUCAUGGUCAGUUACUAUAUGCAUAGGGACACUGAAUCUACACAUUAUGCAUUUAAAUAUAAACUUAGCUGUCACGCUUUGUGUUAUCUUAGGUACUGCCAGGGUUUCGACCCAUUUUGUAAAGUAGUCGACUGCGACAAAUAUGAAUUUUUCUUGGCCUGUUGAUACUGGAAAUGGUCUGACAAUAUCUAAUACCCACAUUGUGAAUGGAAUAGGGCUAUCUACCCCUGUUAAUUACGUGGCUGGGUUUCUUUGGAUAUUUUUAUGAAUUUGGAAAGCCUUAUACUUUCUUGCAAAGAGGAUUGCAUUCUUUUUCAGUGUGGGUCAGAAGUAUCAUUGUCUUUCUAUUUUUUGAGCCAAAUAUCUUCCUCUCUGAUGGAUCCCACAUACUCCCUGAUGGAUCUCCUCUAUUAUGAAUUGCCCUUUGUCUAUUCAAACACACUUCAUUAGAGGUCCAUCGUAGGAUUUUUUGUAUAUGAUGUCUCCAAUUUGACAGAAUCUUGGGAUGCGUGUUUGUAACUUGCGUCGCACAUUUUUGUCCUCUGGUAGUCUCUGUCCUUCGAAAUAUUCCAACAAGGGUAACCUCUAGUCUUUUGCUUGAACUGUAACUAGAUUGCAUGAGGGUGUAGAGACUGAGUCAACCAGUAUCUCUCUCUGUCCCCUCCCGCCAAAAGAGGACGUGAGUUUUGUCAUGGCAUCAGCCGAGUUAGUCUGACUUCUUGGGACUUGUUCUAUCUCUACUUUGUUGAACUGAAGCUUCAUUUUUUCGAGUGUAGCUGCGUAAUGUACAAUAUGAGGUUCUUUAACUGUGAACUCUCUUGUAAACUGAUAUGCUACUAGUUGGGGAUCAGUCCUGAUAAUUACCGAGAAGCCUCCCAAUCUUUUGACUAUUCUCAUGCUUUGGAUUACAACUUCAUAUUCUGCUAUGUUAUUUGUGGCGGAGAACUGUAGUAUAAUGGAAUGUUCAUAUAUUCUUUGGUUAGGGGUGAUUAUCUUGACCCCUAUUCCUGCACCAGUACUGCAAUUUGAGCCGUCGACUUCUACUAUCCAAGAUGCCUCGUUAUUUUCUUGAAUCAUGUCAACGAUAAAAUCUGGUAUAGCUUGCCCUUUAAUGGUUGUGGCAGCCGGCAGAGAUAAAGUCUAUAUCGAAUUCACUUAACUCCAAGGCCCAUUUUAUGAAUCUUUUCCAGAAGUGUCUGGCCUGUGGAGUAUUCUGCGUAAGGGAUGCUCUGUAAGGACUUUGAUUGUGUGACCUAAGAAGUAGGCUCGGAAUCUUCGAGCCGCAUGUACUACUUCUAAAACUAUUCUUUCUACUAGGGGGUAUCGUGUUUUUGCCCCUUGUAGUCUUUUGGAGUGUUAGUAAAUUGGUAUUUGCUCACUGUCCCUUUGACAGAUUAACACUGCACUGAUUGCUUCCUCAGAUGUUGCUACGUAAACGUAUAAUUCUUCCCCAAUUUUAGGAGAAGCCAAAUGAGGUAGUGACGCUAAAUGUGUCUUAAGAUGGUGGAACGCCUGUUUGCAUUCUGGAGUCCAGGUCACUGCUCCUUUCUGGCUGGUUUUUAAUUAAUAGUUGGAAAAAAUGUUUACAUUUGUCUGCAGCUUUGGAAAUAAAUCUACCUAAGGCCUUGACCUUUUCAUUUAGUUUCUGUACUUCUUUGAUAGUUGGGAAGGGGAGGUGUUGUUUCUAAGAUUGCAGUUAUCUUUUCUGGAUUUGGUUUUAUCCCUUUCUGCCUGACAUAGAAUCUGAGGAAUUUUCCUUCCUGAACCCCAAAGCUGCAUUUUGAAGGGUUUAGCCAUAUCCCAUACUUUUGUAAAGUUCCUAAUGUUUCUUUUAAAUCACGCAGCUGAUCCUAUGCUUUUCUGGACUUUACCAAGAUGUUUGCUAGAACAUUUCUCUUUUCCUGCUCUUUGAAAACUUUUUUCAUGCGCCUUUGAAAGGUUGCUCUUGCGUUCCGUAACCCGAAUGACAUGACUUUAUAACAGAAUGUUCUCCAGUCGGUGAUGAAUUAUGUAGCCUCUUCAUCUUCUUCUUUCAUAAGAAUCUGAUUGUAGCCUGAAUGCGCAUCCAUCAUGGAUAGUAGUUCAUUUUCGAAGGACGCAUCUACCAAUCUAUCGAUAGAUGAGAGUGGGUAGCUAUCUUUUUGACAUGCUUUAUUGAGGUCUGUAAAGUCUACACACAUCCUCCACUUUCCAUUAGAUUUUUUAACCAUUACUGGGUGGCUAACCAUUGUGGGUAUUUGAUUUCCCGUAUGUGUCCAGCUUUUCUAUUUCAGCUUACGCUGCUUCCUUUCUUUCGGUUGCGAAUAUCCUUCGCUUUUGCCAAAUAAGGGUAAAGCUGGUGUCUAUAUUAAACUCAUGAUAUGUUAUUGUGCGCUGUUCCUGUGAAGUUGCUUCUCCCUAUCAUAUAUACAAAUGCGCAUACAUGAGUUUCUAGUAGACUUAAUAAGGAAUUUUUUAUUUCGGAGGAUAUGAACGUACCUAUAAGGACUCCUCAUUUUGAUAAUUUAACUUCUUCCACUUAGCCUAUUGGUGUCAUUUCCUCCUUAUCUUCCCUUUUUUGGAUGAAUAAGGUUGUUGGUUUUGUCAUUUUGGUUGCCUUUCUAUAUGAAUCCCUUGAGUCUCUCUGGGCUCUGAAAACUAUUGUCAUUUAUCCAUCCUUUUCCAAAUACCUAAAGCAUUGGUGAUAUGAUGAUGGUAUUGCUUUGAACCCAUGGAUACUUGGUCUACCUAAGAUUCCGUUAAAAGGAGAACUGAUGCCAACUACGAUAAAGUGCGUAGUUUGUGAUACUCUUCCAUUCCUUUUACCCAGAUAAACUUCCAGAUCGAUUGUACCUACUACUAGAGCUUUAGUAUUUAUAAACCCGUAUAUUGCUUCCUUUGUUAAAGCCCAUUUUUAAAGCCCAUUUUUUAAAGCCCAUUUUUUCAAAUGAUGUAAGGUACAGUAUAUCGACUGAACUUCCAUUAUCCACCAUGACUUUAUUAAGACUUAGGUCUUUUCCUAUGUCUAUUUGUAUUACUAGUGGAUCUUCAUGCGGGUUGACUAUACUAUCAAAAUCUUCUUUUGAAAAGUUAAUAUUCUCACUUGGGUAUGUUCUUUUCUUGGAUUCUGAUCUUGUUGUCGUAUGUAUAACCUUUCGGGCGUAGCUUCUACUCUACCCUACUGUGCCUCCUUCAAAAAUUACAUUUAUUACUCUUCUUUUUUUAUUGUCAUCGAAAUUGUUGCUAUCAGGGCUUCUUGAAUGUUCCCUCUUACCUUUGCUCUUUGGGAGUUUGCAUCCUUGUUUGGAUUUCUCUAUCUUAUUUAUAUAUUGUUUGAGCUUACCAAUUUUUACUUGGGCAUCUAAAAAGGUGCUCAAUUCUUUGCAAUUUUCUAUGUAAUGUCUAUGAUCCCUGUGGAACUUACAUUAUCUGUUUCCAUGAAUCCGGGCUUCUUUUGUUGCAGGGUCUUGAUGAAGCACGAAAUCUGCUACCAGUAGGCUCGCGGGGUUGCGAGAAGGGCCGGAGGCUUUGGAGUCCACGACGCGCGCUUUACGUCAAAUACCUGCAAAAGUGGAGGGGAGUCGGCGACUCGGGCUCCUUAGUUCUCUGGUUGGGUGUGUGUCAAGUGGGAAUGAUUUGGGAGUAGAGGACCCCCAAGGACCCCUUUUAUAGGGUCCUGGGGAACGUUUCCCUAUUCAUUAGCGUGGGGCCCACUCCAUUAUGGUGUCCAAUUAAGAGUGCCAUAAUAGCGUGGGCCCUCCCAAGUAACGGUUGGGAAUCGGCGACUCAGGUAUGGGAGUCGCCGAUUCAGAGGUGUGGUCGCCGACUCCCAUGAUCCAAGUUGGCAGUACGUCUACCAGAACUGACCACGAGGCCUAGAGUCGACGAUUCACCCCUGGAGUCGACGACUUGGUAGUCCCAGUCGGCUAUUUCCAGGUGUUGCCUUGAGUACUUGACGUAGACACUUUCUCCGCAUUUGUGGAACUCUCUGGGGGUCCGACAUAAAGCAACGGAACCCUAGUCCUUGUUGAAGGGUGUUGCUGGGAGUGACUGACGUAAUCAGGCAUGUCUUACCAGUACUCCCCCCUGAAGGGAGCACAAGAAACAUGCGUAUACCGCCAAUAUCCCCCCCCCAAGCAAGGUGAUCCGCAUCAAGGCCAAAAACACAAGAUGGAAUUGAGUCAUUGCACUCACAGUGGCACAAAUGACUCCGCGUGGUCUAUGCACUAUCAGAUGGACUGAUUCACUAUCAGAAUCUAAUUCCAGGCCAACGGAACUACAUGUUUAUAGUCCUACUCUGAUCAGGAGCGACUUUUGCUGUGGAUUCUGGCCGAAACGACAAAAUACGUGGAUUCACUAUUAGAAACUGAUUCUGGCUGAAGCAACAGAAUGCGUGGAUUCACUAUUAGAAUCGGGUUCUGGCCGAAGCGACAGAAUGUGUGGAUUCUGGCCGAAGCGACAUAAUCUACUUCACUAUCAUAACUGAUGUUUAUAGUCCACCCUGAUCAAGAGCGACUUUACGUUCGCAACGACGGUUACCUCAUAGGCCGAAGCGCAAGAUGGGUCGAGAUCAUUAAGGUCAAAGCGACAAAAUGAUCUCCAAGUAUUUGAAGAAUUAUUGAAGCCAAAGCGACAAAAUAAUUCUUGGUCCGAUUCUGGCCGAAGUGACAGAAUUAUGCCUGCAAAACAAAAAACAACCUGCAAAACAAACUAUAUCAGUCUAAAGGAUAUAUUUAUUGAUUUACUGACCUUGCCGUGUGGAGCUGCCUCUAAUGCUGCUUCUACUCAUGCUCAAUAAAUCCUUGAUUGAUCUGGCCGAAGCGACAGAUCUAUCAUGCUCAAAAAAAUGUGACAGCUUAUGGCCGAAGCGACAGAAGUACCGGGAGAACUUGUGAUACUCCCUUUGGAUUUCGACGACUUCUGGUCGAAGCGACGGAAGUGUCGGGAAGAGCUUGUGAUACUCCCCCCUUGAGAUCAUUAAGGCCGAAGCGUCAAAAUGACCUCUGGUCUAUCAAGGCUGAAGCGACGAGAUAGAUCGACUCACUAUUAGAGUCUGACUCACUAUCAGAGUCUGGUUCACUAUUAGAACUUGGUUCACUAUUAGAACCUUUCCUGCAAAAAAGAAAACAUCCUGCAAAACAACUAAAUCAGUCCGAAAAUGCAUAUUUAACUUAUUGAACUUACCGUGCGAUUUUACCUUCCUUGAUGCCUCUCCUUUGCUCAAAUUGAUCCUUGGUAAAUCUGGCCGAAGUGACAGAUCUUACCGUGCUCAAUUUUUGAUAACUUCCGGCAAGAGCGCCAGAAGUGUCGGGAGAGUUUGUGAUACUCCCCCUGAAAUUUUGACGACUUCUGGCCGAAGCGACAGAAGUGUCGGGAGAGCUUGUGAUACUCCCCCUUGAAACGUGACGACCUCUCGCCGAAGCGACAGAAACGUCGGGAGUACUUGUGAUAUUCCUCAUUGAAAAUGUGAUGACUUCCAUCCAAAUUGACAGAAGUGUCGGGAGAGUUUGUGGUACUCUCCUUCGAGAUUUGACGACUUCUGGCCGUAGCGACAGAAGUGUCAGGAGAGCUUGUGAUACUCCCCCUCUAUUUCGACGACUUCCAUCCAAAUUGACAGAAGUGUCGGGAGAGUUUGUGAUACUCCCCCUCGAAGUGAUUGUUAAUCGGCUAUCUUUUGUUUUUUCAUUGCUAAUCUUUCAUAUAAAUUACCCUUUAAAUUGUAACUAAGUCCCGAAACUAGAUUCACAAGUCGUAAUUUAGCCACUCUGGACGUAAAUUAGACUCUGCUAACCCUAUUGUUAGGCACUCUAGGCGUAGACUUGGUUGUACGAAUCGUAGCUCAGCCUACGGUUAAAUUUGCGGAUAAUUUAUACUUUCAGAUUAAUGUAGAGUUGUAAAAGAUAGCGCGAAUAAAAAAUCCAAAGGAUGCAAAAUUUUCAAACUCGAGGGUUACGAUCGUAAUUUACAAUUACAACUUAAGUUUGAACCCUGAUGUUGGAGAGAGCUUGUGAUGUUCUCUCCUGAGAUGCGACGACUUCUGGCCGAAGUGGCAGAAGUGUCGGGGAGGGUUUGUGAUACUCCCUCCUGAAGGUGUGACGACUUCUGGCCGAAGCGACAGAAUUGUCGGAGAGGGCUUGUGAUACUCUCUCCUGAAAAUGUGUUGUUGUUUGCCCUGAGUCGGCAACUAGGUGUCCCAGUCGUCGACUCCUACUAUGUAGUUCAACUCCGUCCGAAGAGACGGAGCAACUUUUGACCCACAUCAAGGUCGUAACGACGAGAUGGGGUCAAAUCGUUAGGGCUUUAGCGACAAAACGAUUAUUAAUCUAUUAAGGCCAUAGCGACAUAAUAGAUUCUGGUCAGUGUGGUGGGCACUUAGAACCUUUUGUGGUUGGGUUCACUUGUACCUAUCAUCUACCUAGAACUCUAUUUCUAGACCCUGAUGUGUGGUUGAACUCUAGCCGUAGCGACAGAGUAACUUUUUUGGACCCACAUCUAGGCUGAAGUGGGUUGAAUCGUAAUGUGUCAAAACGAUUUUAAUCUAUUAAGACAAUAGCGACAAAAUAUGUUUAUAAUGUGGGAUGCUAGUUAGAGUCGUAGGUAGAACGUAAAUUUUAUUGAAAUGUAAAUUACAAAAGUAAAAUCUGAUUUUUCUACUUUGCAAUUUAAACUAACAUAUAGACUAAGAGGUUCUAAGGAAUAACGUAUUCAAUACUAAGCGUAGUAUUGUUGUAUGUUGUCCGCGUUCCAGAUUCAGGGACCUUUAGGUGACAGCUUAUUCCUACUCCUCUUAGUUAUGCUAGCCUUCCUGUGGGUCUACCACCAAAUAGCAUAUGGAUGGUUUUCCGUGGAUGAUCCUCGCUAUUGUCGCUGUCUGGCGAAAGAGAGCGUGGGCGCUUUCCUUUCUUGUCAGACUUACAAUCAUUUCGACCUCGGGAUCCUCUGACCAAGUUGUCAAGUUCGCCGUUCGAGAUCAAUUGCUCGACAUAAAGCGAGAACUCCCUGCAAUAGUCCGUCAGAUGGCCGUGGUCCUUGUGGAAUUUACAAAAUCUUCCACCUUUUUGACGGCUAUCCUUGGUUGCAGGGUCCAUAGAGCGAGGAGCGGGCAGAUCCGCUCUGUUCUUCAAUUUCUCAAACAGCUCGCUUUUGCUGAUUGUUAGUGGGGUCCGAUCCUUCCAUGGUUGAGGUGGACCCCUUGGCGACUGUUUGGUGGAUGUUUGAUACACCUUGUUAUCGUGUUUAGGCUUUCAUUCCUUUCUGAAGGAAUCAGCCGCAUUGCCAGUGUAUCUGUUAGAGGAGUCAUUGUAGCUCUUCUUCUCGAACUUUUGUUUUUUGAAGCUAGUGUUCUCAAGUUCCACUAGCUUGUUUUCAUUCUGCUCUUCCACCUCAAUGAAUGAUUGAGCUCGUUGGAAGAGUUCGGGUAAGGUCUCCACUUUAUGGAGCGUAAGAUUCAGGGCUAGAGGGGAGUAGGGUACUAGCCCAUUUGUGUACUCCGCAAUGGCCAGACUUGGGAUUAAGUCGCUCACUUUUGUCAUCAGUGAAGUGAACUUAAUCGUGUAAUCCCUCAGAGACAGUUUGUCAUGUCGCAGUGCCAGCAGUGCAUUGGCACUGUGUUUGAUCCUAAUCAUCCCCACAUGUUGGGCGAUGAAUUUGGACGUGAGAUCCGCAAAGCUGAAGAUUGAUCCAGCUGGCAGACCGGAAAACCACCGAUAGGCAUUGCCCUUGAGAGUGUCGGGGAAUACUCGACACAACAGUGCGUUGUCAGUGGUUUGCGGCUCCAGAACAUUGAGGUAGAGGUUGACCCGAACCAUCGUACGACUCUAUUCUGGGUACCCGCCAGGGUGGUGGAAAGGCCACCUUCAAAAGGUCCUCUUGGAAAGGACCUCUUUUGACUCUUAGGAACUCGAUCGGACUGCUGGCGAAUGGAUUGUCGGCCAGCUUCCGAAGGAGGUCCUCCACGAAUCGUGUUGUAAGAGUCCUCUCAGUGCGACUCUUACUGGGUCCAGCUCUUGAUUUUUCUGAUUCUGGACCUUUUUUCUCCGCAGUCGGAGAAUUGUGAGAAGCCGAUUCACCCGCUCUCUCGCGGGCGAUAGUUCUCUGACUCCUCGCUUUCUCGAGGUUGCUAACUCUUUUUUCCAUGUUGUCCAUGAAGUUAAUCAACCUCACUUCUAGAGCGGGAGAGAUGGAUGCCCAAGGGGGCAAAUCAGUUUGAGCAUCCUCGAGCCUCUCAAAUUGUAUGUUUUGCUGAGGAUGCUCAGUGUGUGACCCAUCGGGUGCCACUGAGGAUUUGCCUUUGUUCCUCAGAUGGUAAUCGUGUUUUUGUCUUUCAGAAGCCAUAUAUGACAAAAGCGAAUUCCAACCGAAGCGCAGGUAUUGAUCGAGCUAACUCGAAAGAAACCAAGUGGAGUCGGCGAUUCAGUAGGUGGAGUCGGCGACUAGCCUUAGGUUUUUGACUUUGAGCUGAACCGAGGCCCGAGAGAAAAAACCAAGUGGAGUUGACGAUUCACAAGGUGGAGUCGGCGAUUCACAGGGUGGAAUCGGCGACACACGAUAGUGGAAUCGGAGACUGCUUUAGGUAGCUUUUCUUUCGAGUCUGACCGUGGACAGCACUCUUAGCUAGCAGAAUAACCCGCAAUCGGAGACUCACUAGGUGGAGUCGGCGAUUGCCUGUGUGAAUCGGAGAUUCCUUGACACAAAGUUAGCGACUCACCCUAAGGGAAUCGAGCUGAACUUUGCGAAGAAAAUUUCACGAUUACGAUGGAAUAUCGUAGUUCGAUAGUCCCACAGACGGCGCUAGCUGAUGAAGCACGAAAUCUGCUACUAGUAGGCUCGCGGGGUUGCGAGGAGGGCCGGAGGCUUUGGAGUCCAGGACGCGCGCUCUACGUCAAAUACCUGCAAAAGUGGAGGAGAGUCGGCGACUCAGGUAUGGGAGUCGGCGACUCGGGCUCCUUAGUUCUCUGGUUGGGUGUGUGUCAAGUGGGAAUGACUUGUGAGUAGAGGACCCCCAAGGACCCCUUUUAUAGGGUCCUGGGGGACGUUUCCGGGGCCCACUCCAUUAUGGUGCCCAAUUAAGGGUGCCAUAAUAGCGUGGGCCCUCCCAAGUAACGGCUGGGAAUCGGUGACUCAGGUAUGGGAGUCGCCGAUUCAGAGGUGUGGUCGCCGACUCCCCAUGAGCCAAGUUGGCAGUCUACCAGAACUGACCACGAGGCCUAGAGUCGACGAUUCACCCCUGAAGUCGGCGACUUGGUAGUCCCAGUCGGCGAUUCCCAGGUGUCGUCUUGAGUACUUGACGUAGACACUUCCUCCGCAUUUGUGAAACUCUCCGGGGGUCCGGCAUAAAGCGACGGAACCCUAGUCCUUGUUGAAGGACGGUGCUGGGAGUGACAAACGUAAUCAGGCAUGUCUCACCAGGUCUAAUGUGAUAGGUUGUGUAAAUUUAAUUUUUUCCCUUUUCCCUGUCAUAUAUUUCUUCUUUCAGGGUGUUGAAGACUGUGAACCCAAAGUCUUUAUAUCUUUGAUAUCUUGGUUUUCCUGAUGUGUCUGAGGUUUGGUAAACUUUUCCAUCAUGUCUUGGUCUCCAAGAAGGUUCCCCUUUUUCGAAUUUUUUAAACUUUAGUUUUGGUGCCUGAUCACUUAUUUCUUUUUUCCCUUUCUUUUUCCUCGGAAUUUAUAUAUUUUUGGGCUUGUAUUAGCAAAUCCUCUAAGCAACUUACGUUGUUUAUGUUUAACUCUAUGGCUAAUGGAGUAUUCAUGUCCAACCCCUUAGAGUAUGCAUAUAUUGCAAUUGUUGUGUUUAGGUCAAAUACCUUCGGCAUUGCCUCUGUGAAUUUGUUGGUUUAAUUUCGGAGUGUAUCUUCAUUUUGUUUUACAGAAAAGAGUGAGUCAGUGCCUUUUCUAAUCCUUGUAUUUCCACAGUGUUGGGCCAAGAACUUUUUCUUUAGGUCUGCAAAACUUGUUAUACUUUCUGGUUGUAGAUCUACAAACCAUCUAUAUGUGGAUCUCCAUAAUGUUCCAGGAAAUGCCCUACAUAAGAUACCAUCUCUUGUUGUGACCCAUUGCAUUAUUCCUCUGAAUAUGUUCACGUGAUCCACUAGGUCCAACUUGUCAUCAUAAUAUGGCAAUCUGGGCAGCCUGAAACCUAGUGGUAUAGGUUUUAUCAUUAGUGAUUUAUGUAGGGCCUCCAUGCCCUCGAAUAGGGUGGGGCAUUCAUACUCUUCUUCAUCGGUGUCUCUUGCUCCUUCUUCAUUUAUGGGUAUUUUUGAUGGUAUAUGUGAUUUGUGUUGUCCUAUCUUUUUAGGCACACGUGGUGGUAAUGAAUUUGAGUGGGCUGCACGUUAGCUCAAGACUUCACGUUGAUCUGCCUAUUUCUGAUUUUCGGGUUGUUUUGAAGUUUGUGCCUUUGAGCAGUGCAUUAUUAUUCUUGAUUUUUCAAUUAUUUUAAGUCUUUCACUCAUUCUGGCUAUUGUUUCUUUCAUGCUCACUAGUUCUUCUAGAGGAAUAUACACCAUGAAGCGGAGACUUUCAGAUGUGGAUGUUGUGCCAAUUGGGUCCCGAUUGUUCUGAGGUACUUGCUCAGGGACCCGUUGCAGUACUUAUGGUGGUUGUUGUAUUUGCUGGUUCAUGGCCUGAGCUACUGUUUGUAACACGAUAUUCUGGUUAUCUGCAACUGCUGAUGUAUGUUGUACUGGUUCGGGCUCUGCCUAUUUGCUUGGGCAUGUAUUCUUUUUUAGUCGUACCAUAGCUCUUUUGGUCACGAGAUUUUUCGUAGGCUGGGCCUGUGGCCCUUGAGAAUCUUCUUCCGUGCGAGAACAACUUCUUAUAGUUACCAUCUUUUCUGAAGUAUUCGACUUUUUUUUUUGAAAAAGUCAGACUGUGUUCUAAAAAAGUCGACUUGUGUGAAAGUCGAUCUCUGAAAGUGAUUUUAGCUGAAAGUUGAGGAUUUUGACUUUUUUCUCUCUUAAGCCUUGAGAAAGUCGAUUCACGAGGGAAGCCAACCAAUGAAACAGAUGACUUCUGAGAAAGUCGUUCUUGAAAAAAGUCGAACCAUUUUUUAACAAAAAUGUCGAACUCUAGAGGAGUGAUCUCCAGACGAUGCUCUUUGGCUCUCUCUGAAAAAAGUCGAAGAGCUUCUGCCGUGAGUAUCUUUGAAUCACAGACAGCGCCAACUGAUGAGGGUGGAACCUGAUCAGUGCUCGACGAUGCUUCCAACAAGUGCUAGGCGGGGAACUCCGUAGGAAAAUUAUACCGAAACUCAGUUACUCAGAGCUCUGCUUCGAUGUGACUUCUCUACACUAAAUGACCUGUCCAAAUGAAUGAGUGAUGGCCCUAUUUAUAUGACUUUUUAUGGGGGUAAUCUGGUUAUUUGGGUUGUAACCGCCUAACUGCCCAGGUAUGGUUUCAAGUCAACUUUCUUAGGAUCGACUUUCUUGGAGUUCGACUUUCUUGGAGUUCGACUUUCCUGAAGUUCGACUUCUGAGAAAGUCGAGUUCUAGGAAAGUCGAUCUUCCCAAGGGUUGACUUGGAACCUCUCCCAAACCUAUAUGAGUACCUUAAUUCAUAUUGGGUUAUCCGAAUAGCUAGUUGCUGGUGUGCUGUGACUAAGUUCGGGAUACUGUAUCACCAAUUUCAAUUACUCCUUCUUCUGUGUUGGGAACAUAGAUAGAUUCAUCAAAGUCAACAUGUAGUGACUCUAUCAACGUUUGUCUUUCCUUGAGCAACAGUCUAUAGGCUUUGCUCCUUCUUGAAUAUCCAACCAAGAUUCCUUCAUCAGAUUUUUGAGAAAAUUUAUCUUGGUUCCCCCUUGUUCUGAGAACAUAGCAUUUGCUCCCGAAUACUUUGAAGACUGAAACUUUGGGUUUUCUUUUAUUCUAGAUUUCAUAGGGAGUCUUGUUUAAGGUUUUCCUAAUGAUUACCUUAUUUAGAAUAUAACAAGCAGUGCUUACUGCUUCUGCUCAUAGAUAUUGAGGAGUGUCAUGUUCUUCUAAUGUAGAUCUACUCAUCUCUUGUUGUGUACGAUUCUUUCUUUCAACUACUCUAUUUUGGGGUGGAGCUUGAGGAAAGGCAAAUUCAUGAUUUAUUCCAUGGGUAUUGUAGUACUCUUCAAAGUUAGAGUUCUCAAAUUUUCCUCUAUGAUCAUUUCUGAUUUUUAUAAUAGAUGAACUCUUUUCAUCUGUACUAGGGUACAAAAUUUAGAAAAUUCACCAAAAGUUCCACUCUUGUUUCUUAGAAAGAACAUCCAUAUAUAGCGGGAAUAAUCAUCAAUGAUUACAUAGGUGAAUCUUUUUCCUCCUCGACCUUGCAAAGGCUUUCGACACUUGUAGCUAGGAGGUAAUUGAGGGUACCUUGCUAGACCUAGGAUUUAGGAUUAUAAUGAUGUGCAUAAUCACAUCAUCUUUAUCCUUCCUGGUCAAUGGGUCACCUACACCACAAAUCCAUCCUAAGAGGGAAAUCAGACAAGGAGACCCCCUCCCCCCCCUACAUCUUUUCUCUACUAAUGCAGAAUUUAACUAUUCUAAUCAAUGAGCAGGUAGAUAAGAAGCAAAUAAGUACCUUUAAGAAGCAUAAUGUGAUGGGAAUCUCACACCUUAUAUAUGCAGAUGAUCUCAUAAUCUUCUGCAAAGAAGGGAGGAAUCCUUCAAAGCCGUGAAUGAGGUUUUCAAAAUCUUUGAGGCAAAAACAUGCCUAAGGGUGAUUGAACCAAAAAGUGAGGUUUUCUUCUUAAAGUCCACCAAAGAGAAGGACGAACUAUUGACUCAUUUAAGAUUCAAAGAGGGAGUAUUCCCUACAACAUACUUAGGACUACCCUUAUCACCUGGAAUAUUAUAUCAGAAGGAUUGUACCCCCCUAAUAGAAAGGGUGAAUGCAAUGGUAAAGGACUGGAAAACAAAGCUAUUAUCUCACGCGGGUAGAGUCCAACUAUACCAUUGGGGGAUAAUGGGUCUAUUUAAUUUUUGGAACAUGUCUAGCAGACUCCCCGUAGAAAUACUUAAGGAAUUACAAUCCAUUACAUAUAGAUAUAUAUGGAAUGGAAAGCAAGAUUUCGCUUGGGUACAAAUGGUGUUACCCAAGAAAGAGGGUGGGCUAGGACUAAGGUGCUACCUAGAGUCGGCAGAAGCGGCUAAAAUAACAAGAUUAGGGAGAAUUUGGUCGACGUAAGACUCCAUUUUGGCCUCAUGGAUGAGGGGGAGGGGUCUCCUAAGUAUUGACAAGCACCCAAGCUUAGAAUCGGCCCUAUGGGCUGAGAUAAUUGAUUAUAAGCAUGAGAUAGUGAAAAUCCUAAAAUGCGAUCCCAAUUACAAUUGUACUUGGGAGGGGAAAGGGACAUCACUUACAUAUAAGAAUGCUUAGGAGUCUAUUAGGGAAACCGGGCCUAUAGACAAAUUUUGGAAGGGAGUAUGGACCACGAGCAUUAGAAAAUUCAGUAUAACGCUUUGGAGAGCUAUAUAGUCUAAGAUAUCUAUGAGAGCGGAUUGGGCGGGUAGGAUGAGAGGGAAAGCCAUGGAUUGCAUUCUAUGUGGAGGACCAUGGGAAUCAUAAGACAAUGUGUUUUUCAAAUGCAAAUUCUCUAAGGAUCUGUGGUCCUAUUUAUUAUGUGCAAAACCCCGUUUAAUUACAUGUGCAGGAAUUUCUCUAGAACAGGCCAUGGACGAAGCGCACGCGAGAACAAAGAACUCAACAUGUUGGGGAUUGACUUGGGCAUACAUAGCAGCAUAUGUAUGGGGGAUUUGGAUAGAGAGGAAUAAAAGAGGGCAUGAAGACAGGCAUACAAGACCUCAAGAAAUUGGAAGGAGAAUCGUGGAGGACAUCACUACACCUUUUAUGCUGAACAGGUACAAAGCUAAAGGGACCAACCAAGAGCGAUUACUAGUAGAAGCAUGGGCUAGAAGAGCGGAACCGGAAUCAACUUAAUUAUUUACUAUCUUUAUUAUUGUUAUAAGUUAAAUUCAGUAGGAACAUAUUAAAAGAAAUGUAACACUUAGGCUAAUGGUAGGGUUGGGAUUCAAUUAAAAAUAGAAUCCCGACUCACCAUAAGCACAAGUUAAGAAUGGUUUGAUGGAAUGACCUAACAAGUCAUCUCCAUAGGAACUCCCAUCCCACAUGGGAUAAGGUUUCCUGAGAGUAGUAGAAACAAUAUGUGGAAUCAUUUAUGAGUAGUGGACCGAAAGGUGAUGGCAGAGUUUUCCCUUGGAAAAGGAAAAGAUGCCUGAAGCACAUCAGGGUUUUUACACUCCCCAUUGUCCAAGACCCACUACGUAAGAACGAUGAGACAUAGAUCAUUCUAGGAACCAUUGAGUCAGUCCCCAAAUAUCGUUGAAGGCUAUGCGUAAGAUCAAUUAGCCGGAUCGACGUGGAGGGUGUGAGGUGGAUUGUUUGUGAUCACAUCUCUUUUUUGUUGAGAUCUAUAUAUUACCAGAUGAUUUUAACUCAAAAAAAAAAGAAUCUUUUUCCUCUAAGACUUUGGGUUUUGGUUGACCCAAAUAAGUUCAUGUGAAGAAUUUCUAAAGAUUUAGAAGUGGUUAUCUCUGUGAGAAAUUUAGAAGAGCGCGCUUUUGUGUUGCUUCCCUUUUUGGCAAGCAUCUCAAAUAUUGCUUUUCUCAUAAGCUAUUUUAGGUAAUUCAGUUACUAAUUCUUCUUUAGAUCAUUUUAAAUACAAAAAAAAUCAGCUACGAAUGCCUUCGCAUUCUCUGACAGUGCGAAGGCAUUCCAGCCUUUGAUUUUAGCGCAAGUUAUCUGGGCCACAUGUUUUUCACCAGUUAAUAACCGGUGAAAUUUUUUUUGCCCUCACGUGGGUUGCGUCAGUUUGCAACCCACGUGUACUUGUUUUAUUUAUUUUAUUUGUUUUAUUUCUUUCUUCCACCUAUCUUCUAUUCUUUUUUUUUGUUUUUUUCUGACCAUCUUAUCAUCAUUAAAUGCUUUUGACAUCCAUCUUCUCCUAUCUUUAUGUCUCCAUCGUCUUUGUCUUGAUGUUUCUUUUGACUGUGCUUAUACCGCAGUAAUGUAAUGCUACCUUUUUUACUGUUAAUGCUAAAAUUUCAAAAAUAUGUUAAAUCGUUCUAUUUUCUUGUCUUACAUCUUUCAUUUCAUUUUUUACUCAUCUUCCACCUUCUUCUCAUCUCAAGUUCUUCACAGAGCACUUCAUGUUCAUCUCAUUUUCUCCCCUCAAUCUAAGUUACGUUUUUUGGUUCUCUUCUUCAUUUGUUAUAUGUAUUCAUAACAUCAAGAUAUGUCUCAAAAUUCAUUAAAUGUUAUUGAUCAAUCAUCACCCUUACCACAACCUAACAUUGAGCCCCAAAACACCAUUCAUUUCUCUCUUAAUUCUUCCUCAAUAUAUAUCACACCACCCUCAUAUCGUCCCCUUCAUGCCCAACCAUUGAACACACCCACAGAGCAUACUAGACCUCAGUAUAAUGUUAGUCUUGUUUUUUAUUCUAUCCAAUUCGAAAAAUCAUCUGGUUGUAUUCCCAAUGAUACCUAUGGUAAUGCUGAAUGUUCAAGAAACAAUGAUUUUCCACUAAUUCCUAAUGCUACUUAUGGUCCUCAUGAAUAUAAUGAUAUUCCAUUAGACAUUGGUCAGAUACCUAUUUCCUCUGGGAUUAAUGAUGUAACCGAACUACCUAAUGCUAAUAAUUCUUCCGACAAUUUUUCUCCCAGUUUUUUCAUUCCCAAACAACCUACUGAUACCAAUGCUUCUUCAGACAAUGUUAAAGUGAAUUCACCACCAUUUGCUGGUCAAAUUUUUUCUUCAUAUUCAGAUGCUCUUGACCGAUAUUUUGGUUAUGCGUCGAAAGGCGGUUUUCUCUGUUCGUUUGGGUUCUACAAACUAUAAUACUAGUAAGGUUGAUGGUAAUAAGCUAUUAGUUAUGCGACGAUUGUUGUGUUCGAAAGAAGGAAAAGUCGACCUAUUACAUCCUGUUAAAUUAGGCAAGCGUCGUAAGAAUGCAGUUUCAAGGUGUGGUUGUUGUGCAAGUAUGAAAAUGAAGAGAGUCGAAAUGUCUGAACAAUGGAUUGUUAAAAAUAUUGUUCUAAAGCACAAUUAUCCCCUCACUACACCAUCAAAAGUACGAUUCCUUCCAAUAAAUCGUUCGAUAUUCUCUACCUCUAUAUUACUUUUCAAUUCUCUUAGUGAAGUCAACGCACCUGUUUCUCAGCAAACUGCUUAUUUUUCUUCUCAAGUUGGUGAAAUCGAGCAUAUGUGAUGUACUCAAUUGGAUAUAUCGAAUUUGGGUCGUGACGAUCAUGUCGAUUUGAAGAAUUAUGACGUUGAUCUAUUGGUCGAGGAAUUCGAAAUAAAGAAGUCUGUACAACCGGAUUUCUUUUAUUCUAUUGUCAAGGAUUCGACAAACAGAUUGAAACAUGUUUUUUGGACUGAUUCUAUAAUGAUUCAACAUUUCAAGUUAUUCUGAGAUGUAGUUACAUUCGAUACCACUUAUAAGACGAAUGUUUAUUCUUUGAUAUUUGAAAUGUUUUGUGGAGUCAAUCAUAGAAAGACUGUCAUUUUCGGUAGUGCAUUCCUUAGGUAACAUUUCAUUUAAGUAAUGAUUGUUGUCGACUUAUGAAUGCUACUAUAUUAUAUCCUAAUGUAUAUUUUUAUAUCCAAAUAAAUAACUUCACAUUUUCUUCAUAUUAGUAACGAGAACGUCGAUGUAUUUACUUAGUUGUUUAAAAUCUUUGCUGAGUGUAUGAGGACUACUCCGAAAUCUAUAAUUACUGAUCAAGAUCUUGCAAUGAAAGGUGUCAAUAUUACAAUUGCUUUUCCUACAACAUUUCAUCGUCUUUGCCGAUGACAUAUCACCAAUAAGUUGUCAACUAAAGUGCCCACUGUUUGUCGCGACACCAAUGCCUUAAAUUUAUUUUAUCAAAUUAUUAAGUAUUCCGAAACUCCGGAUGAUUUUGAAAAAGCUUGGGCUCUAUGGUUGACCAAUAAUCAUUGGUUGUCAAACGUUUGGUUGAAGAGUUUAUAUGAAAUUCGGAAGUCUUGGGUAUCAUGUUUGACGUGCGAACAUUUUUUCGCUGGGAUGCAUUCAACCCAAAGGAGUGAGGGUAUGAAUUCAUUUCUCAAGACUAGGGUCACUGCCAAAAAUUUACUAUUUCAAUUCGUUCGUCGUUAUGACAAUAUGAUAAAUUCAAUCCGAGAGACUGAGAAUCUGAACAAUCAUAAGGACACCUUUUGGCAUCCAAAAUAUAUUACAUCUAUAGAAAUUGAAGUUGAUAUUUUAAAAUUUUAUACGACCGUUAUUUUUCUUUUAUUUCAAGAGGAGAUGCAGAGAAGUUUUUUCUAUCAUAUACUAUCAGAGACGGACGUUUCAAGUCAGGUAUAAUUGUACAUAUGCCCUUUGUUAUUUAAAUUUUAUUAAUUUAACUUUCUCAUUUCUCUCAUUUCUUAUUUAGUUUUGUUACCUGCUAAUGCUAUUAUGAUAUGGUCAUGUUGCGAAUCAUCACCCUAGGUGCUUCUACGACUCAAUGUAAUGCUAUUAUGUGUGGGUGCAAUGAUUGGAGGCCAAGUUUUCCUUAAUGCUUGGAACUCCCCUACUGAUGCUAUUAUUACUUGGUCAUGUUGCGAAUCAUCACAAUAGAUGGUUAUUCGAAUGAAUGUAAUGCUAUUAUGUGUGUGCGCAAUGAUCAGAGGACAAGAUUUCCUUACUGUUUGGAAAUUACCUGUUAAUGCUACCAUUACAUGGUCAUGUUGCGAAUCAUCACCAUAGAUGCUUCUACGCCUCAAUGUAAUAUUAUUACCUAUGUGCGCAAUGAUCAGAGGACAAUAUUUCCUUGCUGUUUGGAAAUCACCUACUAAUGCUACUAUUACUUCGUCAGGUUGCGAAUGCUUACAAUAUAUGCUUUUUUGAAUGAUUGUAAUCUAUUAUAUGUGUGCGCAAUGAUCAGAGAUUUCCUUACUGCUUGAAACUUACCUACUAAUGUUAUUAUUACUUGUUCAUGUUGCGAAUGAUCACAACAGAUGCUUCUACGACUCAAUGCAAUGAUAUUAUUUGUGCGCGCAAUGAUUAGAGGAUAAGAUUUCCUUACUGUUUGAAACUUACCUACUUAUGCUAUUAUUACUUGUUCAUGUUGCGAAUGAUCACAGUAGAUGCUUCUACGACUCAAAAAUAAUGCUAUUAUGUGCCACUGGCUGUUUUGAUGGUAAACAAUAAAAACGAGUUUUUAAAUAACAUCAGAAUUCAAUCUUUUUGAAAUUAAAUGAUAACAAUGAAAUCUCUUACAAUUGCGCUUGCGCUUCUCCAAAGGCAUUGUUAGAAACUCUGAAUGUAUAUUAGAAAGCACACUAGACUUUAAAAAAAGAAAGAGUGUUAAACCGUCGGGAUCUUCUAUUUCAUCUAUUCUUGGUUGUGUUAAUUGUAUUUGAAAUGAUCGGAGAUCGCUAGAAUGAUUCGACGAAGAUAUUUCUUUUUGUUUUUAAUUUUUACAAAAUCAGUGAAAACUCAACAAAUUCGAUUGUCUAAUACAUAUAUUUCCAAAUGCAAUGUACAAAUAUAAGAUUGAAUAGCUGAUAAAUGUACCUUCGUAUGUUGGGAGAAAAAGCCUACACACAAUUACAAUUUAAAACUCUGUUUUUUCAAUGCACACCAAACGCCCAAAUAUGCACGUUUACAAAAAAGAAAUCACCCCAACCAAUAUACAUUAUUAUCGCUUGAUCACAACAUUUAUUUUAAUAGAAAUCGCUUUAAACCUCAACCAUAUACAUCUAUCUAAAAAUAGUACCUUCUACUCUGAAAAUCACAAAAACUAAACACUCACUAAAACCGAAAACCCUGUUUCGUCAAUGAACCUGAUGAAGCACGGAAUCUGCUACCAGUAGGCUCGCGGGGUUGCGAGGAGGGCCGGAGGCUUUGGAGUCCACGACGCGCGCUCUACGUCAAUAUACCUGCAGAAGAGGAGGGGAAUCGGCGACUCCCUUAGGAGUAGGCGAUUCGGGCUCCUUGGAUUGCUCUGGUUGGAGUGUGUGUCAAGAGAGUGAGUUGAGGGUAGAGGUCCCCCAAGGACCCCUUUUAUAGGGUCUUGAGGGACGUUUCCCCAUUCAUUCGAGUGGGGCCCACGCCAUUAAGGUACCCCAAUAAGGAAUGCCUUAAUGGCGAGAGUCCGCUCAGGUAACGGCUGGGAGUCGGCGAUUCAGGUAUCGGAAUCGCCGAUCCAGAGGUUCAAUCGCCGACUCCCCAUGAGCCUAGUGGCAGCCUACCAGAGCUGUCCACGAGGCCUAGAGUUGGCGAUUCCCCCCUGGAGUCGGCGACUUGGUAGUCCCAAUCGGUGACUCCCAAGUGUUAGCUUGAGCUCUUGACGUAGACACGUGCUCCGCACCGUGGAAGCCUUUCCGGGGGUCCGGCAUAUAGCGACGGAACCUAUUCCUUGUCGAAGGUCGUUGCUGGGAGUGACUGACGUGUUCAGGCAUGUCUCACCAGAACCCAUAAAAACAGAGUAGCAACGGAACCCAUCGGAUGGAAGGAGGCAAUGAUUUAAAUAGAAAAUUUCGGAUGUCAUACCUUCUUCAAUGGCCGCGUCUGAUGGAAGAAGGCGACGUUUGAACUACGGUUUUGGAGACAAAAAAAUCCGUCGAGAGUGAUGGUUGAUAAAAAUUGUUGUUUUCUGUCUUACUAAUUCGAUAGUAUGUAAUGCUAAGAAAGAAAUUUGAUUUGAUAGAUAGCAGACUAUGACAUGACACUCGUAAAGCUACACUUACAAUCUAUUAGUCUAGUGGUAGUCUCAUAGCAGGUUUUUAUUUUUUUUACACGGUAACACCGGUUGGCACAAGUUCAUGCAUCUACACCUUUAAUUUUAUCAACCGUCGAUUUUAAUUUAUUUUUUUCCACGGCCCGGAUCAGACGAGGUUCGCAUGCAAACCUGUCGUAGCUGAUACGGGCCGAUUUUAAAUAACUGGUGUGACCUAAUCUUCUAUGCCACGGGAUUUUUUCAUCACUUGCGACAAGCAUGCAGAAGUCAUGAGUUGGCUUGGACUUAACAAAGUUUAAAGAAUAAGCAUUAUUUUUUCUAUCUCCUUUGGAAAUAGUAACUCCCUCGGAGUUAAUAAUUAGACAGCUAUAUUUUUCAAAUUUUACUACACAACCAAUGUCACAUAAUUGACCUAUGCUAAUCAGAUUAUGCUUAAGAUCCCAUUUACUAAAUGAAACUUUCUUAAAAAUGGUCUUUCUUUAUUUCCUACAUUACUCCUACCUACUAUGGUACCUUCGUUGUUGUCAGCGAACUUGACUUUUCGGACUGUAGACAACAUGACUAGUUCUUUGAGUAGAGUUGAGUCUCUUGUCAUGUGUUUUAUGCAUACGCUAUCAAACAACUAUUUCGAGGUUUAACUUACUUGCAAUAGUCGAAUGAUCCUUUGGUACCCAUACUGAGUUGGGUCCAGAUGAUUUAACAAAUUUAAGCAAUUUAUACUUACUCAAUUCACCUUUAGUCAUCCAUUUUUGUUUCAAGCAUGUAGUUAUAGGAGGCGAGUGUGAUUCCUUAACAAAGUAUUUGUUAUAUUUAGUAGAGGAAUAUGGGGAUUUAUGAUUAUUAUCAACACCAAACCCUAGACCAAAUUUCUUUUAGCCAGACCUUGAGUUAUUAAUCAUCUCAUUCAGCUUGGUUGAACUGUCAGAGUAUUUUUGAAGAAUGAUAUUUUUAACCAUUAUAUCUUUAUACUUGCAUGGAAUUUUCUAUCUCAGAAGAAUUAUGAUCAUGCAUGGCUAAAUUUUCUUUAAGCAUAUUGAUUUCAUUUAAUUUUUCAGAUAAGGUGAUGCUUGAAGUAAUUUCAUUUUCCUUGAUUUUUUCUUCUAAGAGCUGGAUAUUAUCAUGAUAAUCAAUUUUAGAUUUACUAGCAGAUAAUUCCAUUUUAUCUAUUUUUGAUUCUAUCAAUUCAUGAUCUUCAAAAUUAGAUUUCUCAGAUUCAAGAUGAUCAAGCAACAUAAUAUUCUGUUCUUUUAAUUGCUUAAUGAUUUUAUCUUGUUUUUCUAGUUUUAAUUCUAAACUAGAGUUUGUUUCUUUUAAUAUCAUGCAAGUCUUAGAUUCAGUUUCAUACAUGCAUUUUAAAGAUCGAUUUUGUCUUUUAGCAUUUUUAUAUUUUUGACUUAGAUUUCAAAAUGCAUCUUCUAAGGAAUUUAAACUUAAUUGAGCUAGGAGAAGUUACCUCAUUGUCGUUUUCCAGAGCCAUGAGACAUUCAUCUUGUUCAGAUUCAGAGUCACAAUCAGUCCAUUGUGCUUGAUGAGCUCCUUCCUUAGAUUUUAGCAGAGGACAGUCCGACUUGAUGUGACCUACCUUUUAGCAAAUGAACUCCUUGUCCUUGCUAGAUGACUCCUUCUCAGAUGAGAUCCUAUUUGGGUAGCUUUUGUGCUCUGACCUUGAUUUUCUUUAAUAUUUGCGAUCCUUACCUUUUGAGUCUCUCUUUCUCAGAAUGUAGUUUCGGAUCUUGUUUGUGAUCAAGGCCAGUUCAUCAUCUGAGAAUUCAUUUUAUGAUUGGCUUCUGAGAGCUAUGUCCUUUUUCUUCUCAAGUUUCACCCUCUUCAGUAAUUAUGAGGGGUUCAUAAGGCUCCUCAGCAACAAGAGGAGAACAGUCUCAACAUCUGGAAUCGUCGAUUAAUAAUCUGGAUGUACAAUCGGUGAUUUAUGUAGUACAAUCGCCGAUUCUAUAGGCAGUCGACGAUUUCUCCAAGCUGUUAGCACGAAGUUCAAUCGGGCGUUUGGGGCCGAGGAGAUUGCUAGGUUGCCACCCGCAGAAAUCAUCAAUUCCACUAGGGAAAUGGGCAAUUUCUCGGGCGGCACUCCUCUUCGCCGACAUCUUCCUCAAUAGGCGAUCCCACCGAGGGAUUCGUCGACUUUCUAAUGUCUUGGGGAGAACCCUAGGCGCAAAAAGAAAUCGACGAUUCAACCUCGUUGAUCGCAUCUAUUAGGCUUUGGCUCAACACAGUCUCAGCGAUUUCAACAUCGCAUGAGGGAAUCGGAAAUCGACGAUUUCGUGGUCCGUUCGUACUACUACGAUUUAAUGAGUACUUUGACCAUAAAAUGUUAGACCUUAUUAUGUUGAAGCUUUUAUAAAAUUCAAAUAUAUCUAAGGUUUUUUCCCUAUAUUUUUUUUCGAAAAAUCAAACUAUACCAAAAUAUAAUUGAUGGUGUGUGGAUCGCCGGAGUGCUCACACAUGCAACUCUCUCUCUAGUACUUUCUUUUCCGAUUCUCAACCUCCUCCCCUGUUGGAUCAGGGGAGGUAUUUAUAAUGUUACCCCAGGAGGCCCGUAGGCUUUUUGGGCCUUCCCCGGUCCAGUCCAUUAUUCGUGCGGUUGGGCCCGAAUGUAGCUGGUUCGGUCCACAAACCGUUGGGACGGUCCGUGGUACUGAUGAAGCACUGAAUCUGCUACCAGGGCUCGCGGUGGUGCGAGGUUGAUGCCGGAGGCUUUGGAGUCCACGACGCACGUUCUACGUCAAAAUACCUGCAAGUGAAACUAGGCGAUUCUAAUGAGACUCGCCGAGUUUCGUAGUGUAGUGCUCUGGUGUGAGAGUGGAACUUGAAUCGUGCCUUCGAGUGUCCCCUUGAGACCCCUUUUAUAGGGUCUCGGAGGGCGCACUCAUCGGCGGAGAUCGCGCCUAUGGUCAUAUAUGGUAACAUUUAUGACGUUGUCUGCCGUCGAGUAACGGUCGUAAGUCGCCGAUUCAGGUAUGGAAGUCGCCUAGUUAAGGGCUAAUUCGGCGAGUUUCUAAGGCCAAGAUGUGCAGUCUACCAUACUGCCGAUCUUGCCUUAACUCGGCGAGUUAUCCUGUAUGUCGGCGACUUGGUAGUCCAAUCGGGCGACUUUACGGGCUAACUCGGCGAUCUGGACGAUGAACGAUGUUCAGCACCGUGGGAGCUCUCCGGGGGUCCUGCCAUAGAGACGGAGCCCUAGUCCUUGUUGAGAGGCGUUGAUGGGUAGUGACUGGUGUAAUCAGGCAUGUCUCACCAGGUACCAACAAUAAUAAUAUAUCAAAAAUUUACUUCAUUAAAAUUUAAUAAAAUAUUAGAAGACAAAAUGCAUCAAUACUAGCUAAAGUCGAUAUUCCCCAAUAUACGUGUCCAUAUUCCCCAAAACAAAAUGCUAAAGUCGAAAGAAAACAUAAACACUUGCUAAAAACAGGAAGAACACUACAUUUUCAAGCUAAUAUAUAUACUAGGGUGAGUGUAUAUUAGCAACUACAUAUAUAGUUAAUAGAUUACCUUCAAAAAUCCUGGAAAAUAAAACUCUAUAUGAAAUUUUAAAUAAAAAUAAAUCAAAUUAUAAAAUGAUUAUUAGAAGUUUGAACUCUAAGUUGUUUAUGCUACAUAACUACUAAUCAUAUAGAACAUGAGUUUUGUAACAAUGGGUUUAGACCUCAAUGAAGUGAUGAGCCGACUCAAGGAGGAAUUAGCCAUUACAGAUUCUCCGGAGGAAGUACCCGGUACGUCAGAGUCGCCCACUACAGGAGAACCACCCACUCCGGGAGAACACUACCUAAUCAAACCGAUUAGAAACAAGAAGAACGUUCCCAACCCAGAUUUUAUUUAUUAUUUGCUGUAAGUGGUUAUAGCCACAACGUAUAUUCCUUUUGCUUUAGGGUAGAGUUAGUUAGUACUGUAUUAAUCACGACCAUGGUAUUUUGGCAUUAAAUAAUGAAUGAAACGGAUGGCUAGGCAUCCAAGUUCAAACUAAAAAAAUCCCUUCUCGUCCUACGGUUCCUUCGGGAGAAGUCUCCUCAUCACCUCCGGCUCCCUCAAGCGAAUUUUCACCUCGUCACCUCCGGCCUUCCAAGGGUUAUCUCUGACCAAGUUCGUAACAUCCCACCAAGGGUGUUACAUUGGUGCUUUCUCUGACCUCUUUGCACGGGAGCUAUAAGGUUCUGCACUCGACGGAGUUAUGUCUAAUACGGCAAAAAAUUAAUCGGAAAGAGUCAAUAGAAGAAACACGUCAAGUUCCGGGUGCAAUUAUUGAUGAACAAACGGCCCACCAAACCGAGAUAACACUCUGCCAAGAUGCGGCGAUUGCGGCAAUAGCGAACACUGUGCUCAAAUUAACUACCAACGAGCAGAGAAACUUCCCAUACGACGCCAAAGAAGAAUCGGUGAACGUACGCCAAGCGUGCAAUCAAUUUGGAUUUCCCACGUUUCACUAAGGAAGAUCCGGAAGGCUGGCUAUAUCAGGUGGACGAGUACUUUGCGUUCCACAGGAUUAGAGAAGAAUCGAAGGUGCAAAUUGCGGGGUUCCAUAUGACGGGCAAGGCUCUAAGAUGGAUCCGAGGCAUGAGGCGGAACACACUUAUUACAAUCUGGGCGAAAUUCGUAGAUAACUUACGAGAAUAAUUUGGAAUGGUGGAGUACGAGAACAAGUUAGAGGAUCUGUCCAGAUUGCAACAAACAUCAACAUUAGCCGUUUAUCUAAAGAGAUUCGAGGAUCUGUUAAACGAUGCGGAGGAACAAAUAGAACAAUCUCUGAUCACUUACUUCGUAGGUGGGCUCAAGCCGGAACUGAAGAGUGAGUUAAAAAUACUAAAACCGAUGACGUUGAGACAAGCUUUCUCGGCCACCAAGGUCUACGAUCGAAGCCCAUCCAGGACGUUGACAUUUAUCACGGCGGACUCCGUUCCGACAAGGCACAGGAACGCCACUGACCGACCCGUUACUCAAAACACUCCCGAUAUAUCCAGGGCAAUGUCGAUCAUGAGAAAGACUCUAAAAGUGGAGGAACUGUGGAUACGCACAACAAAAGGCCUAUGCUUCAAUUACGAUGAAGCCUACUCGCCCGACCAUCGUUGCAAGGGCCGUUUGUUUCGCAUGGAUGCGGAGCAAGGAUGUUUAAUCUAAAUGUAUGAUGAACCGUCGGAGGUGAAAGACCAACUCGAGCCGGAAGUCAGAGAGGAGGGGGCGACAGAAAUCAGUCUCCAAGCGCUUUCGGGAACGUUCAACCCAAGAACGUUGAGAUUACAAGGGUCGGUCCGACGGCACGAGUUCACAGUAUUGAUUGAUGGUGGCUCGACACAUAACUUCAUUCAAGAUUCCAUGGCCUAUAAACUUGGAAUUGGGUUGCAAUCGCUGCAAGAAUUCAAGAUGUUCAUCGGAAGCGGAGAAUACUUGGUGUGUCGUGAAGUCGUUAGACAAGUGUCGUUAACCAUACAAGAUGUUACCUUGAACGAGUACCUCUACUUUCUUUCGAUGGAGGGGGCUAUCAUUGUACUCGGUAUACAAUGGUUGGAAACGUUGGGUGCAGUUACGUGCGAUUACAAGAAAUUAUCAAUGGAAUUUGAGCUCCAAGGAAAGAUGAUUAUUUUAUAAGGUGACCUACCAUCACAUGUGUCGAAUAGUAGCCUGAAAAGUCUCAUGGGCUGGGAAGAGAUUGCUUACCUUUUCAAACUACGGUCCGAGCCCGCUAAGGAUCAAGUCAAACAGGAACUGGGGGUUGAUUUGUAAGAAAUUCUAAAAAAAACUACUAUCAUCCAGGAACCGACGAAGCCCAUUUUCUUCACCAGUUUCUGUUGGUUCGUAAGAAAGAUGGCACCUGAAGGUUUUGCAUGGACUACCGAGCAUUAAACUCAGCCACGAUUCAAGACCGGUUCCCGAUACCCACUAUGGAUGAGCUCCUAUAUGAGCUAAAUGGGGGCAACUAUUUUCUGUAAGCUGGAUUUAAGGGCCAGAUAUCAUCAAAUAAGAAUCGCGGAGGAUGACAUAGAGAAAACAGCUUUUCGCACACACCAGGGACAUUACGAAUUCUCCAUAAUGCCUUUUGGCCUUACUAACGCACCCUCGACCUUCCAGGCAACCAUCAAUCAUUUACUACAGGAUUUGUUGAGAAAAUAUGUUAUUGUAUUUUUUGACGAUAUACUUGUUUACAGUACCUCAAGGGAAGAACAUCUCAAACAUCUGGAAUCCGUUUUAGAGCUACUACAACAAAACUCUUUUUAUAUCCGGGAGUCAAAAUGUUCUUUUGGGGUAACGAGUUUGACCUAUUUGAGCCAUAUUAUUUCUUCAGCCGGAGUAAAACCCGAUCCUGACAAGAUAGAGGCAGUGAAGGCCUGGCCUAAGCCCAAAAUGGUAAAAUAGGUUAGGGUAUUUCUGGGCCUAUCUGGGUAUUACAGACGAUUUAUGGAAAAAAUACGCACAGUUGGCCGCCCCAUUAACAGAUCUAUUACGGAAAGAUAACUUCCAUUGGGAUGAAGUAACGAUGACAACCUUCAAUAAACUCAAAGAAAAAUUAAUCACGACACCCGUAUUAAUUUAUCCACAGAUUUUUCACUCUUUUAUCAUUAUGUGAUGUCGGUGUCGGAGCAAUUUCAAUGCAGCGGGAACAUCCGAUCGCAUACUACAGUAAGAAGCUAUCACCUACGAGACAACGAGCUUCAACCUAUGCCAAGGAAUUAUGGACGAUCACUGAUGCAGUGCAAAAAUGGAGGCAUUACCUGUGGGGCAAUGAAUUUACCAUCCGCACCGACCACUGGAGCCUCAAGAACCUGUUGGCCCAAACUAUUCAAACCUCGGAGCAGCAUUUUUUCGAUCUUAACAAAAUUGCUAGGGUAUAAACCCCAGUUUAGAAAUAAUCUUUCCUUUAUUCGAUAUAAUAUGUAAUAAAUAUUGACAAAUACUCUUGCCCUAGUUGUUUUUCACUUAUAAUAAUUUGUGAUCAACAUAUAUUUUUACUUAUUUUUAUUUUAUUGAACUUUUUCUUCAAUAUAUGUUAUCAAACUAAUUACAUAUAAACAGAAAACAAAUAUAUGACUUUUUUCAUCCCAUAUUUUAACAUAACAUAUUUUUAACUGGUUUAGGAAUAGUAUUUUCGUAAUUUAUUCGAUAUAAUAUAUAUUUUUUUGAUAAGAUUACUUUUGAUUAAUUUAAAUAUUGUUUGAAACAGAUUAGCUAAUAUACUACUUAAUAGUUACCUAAUUAAUUUUGCCAGCAGUUAGCAGUUGCUAACUCCAUCAUCCUUCGUCUUGGAUGAGCAACAGUAGGGCGUCUCUCCCUCUUUUCGCCUCGCGUUCCGUUGUCCUUCUUGUAGUUCUUUUCAUUAAAUCCGACUCCGACCAUGCUUAUGCAGUCUUGAUGACUACCUGUUUCGGCUCGGUCUGGUUCUUCACCCUCUGCUGGUUACGUUGCUUCUAUAUGUGGAACGUAAUGGCACCGAACAUGGUCCAGUGCAGACCCCAUGCCGAUGUUCCAGGCGUAAUUUUGUUUAGCUCGAGUUGUGCCUCUUUAAUUGUGUUGGUAGAGUCCAAGUUUAUAAGUGAGCCAGUAGCUUGUAGUGCUUCGUUGAUGAUCCACUUGGUGUACUCGCAUUUGAGGAAAAGGUGGACCGUAGUUUCUUGUUCGAUUCGGCAUGGAAAUUAUCUGUGUAUGUAUAUAUAUAUUAGAUGCAUGAACCGUAUAUUGCUUCUACCAGGUCUAUGUCUGCGCCUCUGAGUCUAGUUUUUCUAUCACCUUCCAUAUUAGUUGCAUCAACACGAUCUACCAACUUCUCAUUCAUGACUCCUCCAGUAACGACUGGAUUAUUAUGGGGCAGGUGAUAACAUGUCCAAUCAAAUGUAAGGCCAAUGAGUACAGAUCUAAGGAAUCGGUAAGAGGUUUCGAGCUGUCUGUUACCCAAGUUUCUCUUGAAUCAAAGGUGAACUUUACUUGAAUUGGAGGAGUUGUGGCCAAAGCUACAAGAAUGACAGUGGGAGUGGUAGUGUCAGCUACCGGCAAGAAUUGAAGAACUAUUUCGACUUUACUUUUCACCGAUGAAUAAAAUAUCGAUUAGAUAAGUAUUAUUGGUCAACAGGUCAACAUUGUGUAUUUGAGAAUUAUUCCUAAUUACCAUUAACUAUUCUUAAUCUUUAUCUUAUAGCAAAUUUCAAUAUAAGGAUGGAAAUAAUACAAAAGAGAAAUUCAUGGGAAUAAUACAAGAAAUACAUGGGUCGAAGAGAAGCUAAACCUUGAUUAAAAAUAAGCUUAUCAUAGAACAAAGGAAAAAUAUCCAACCACAUUUUUUACUUUUGUGAGAGAUCAAGGAACUAUUGCUUCAAGAUCUAAUGGAGGAGAUCAUUUGGCCAAAGCUAUAAAUAGGAUGGUAUACCCAUUGCAAAAGCCAACCACACUACAAGAGAUUUUCAAAUAUCAGCAUUGAGCCCUUCAUUUCCACUCUCAACGUCCACAACUUUCAAAAGUUCCAAGCUUCCAACGUUUUCAAAUUGUGUUCAAAGGUGUCAAAAGCUCUACACUUCUUCUUCUAAUCUUCUUGAGUGUUCAUAGCAAGUUUAAAGUGUUGUAAUCCUAAACUUUCUCCAUCAUUUUCGUGUGUAUUCCACUUUGGUUGAGAGGGUUGUCUCAAGAUCACCAAAGUGGAAAGGAGGGUUAUUAGGUUUAACCAUAAAACAUUAAGUUAAUUUUAUAGAGUUAUCUGAAAAACUCUUAGGGGCUACGUCUACCUGGAAAGACUUGGGAAAGUUGUAAGUUUAUUUUAAAAACUUAAAUGGUUUGUAAGCAUUGUAGUCUGUAAAAAGCCUGCUAUCCACGGACAUGGGUCUCAUGCCUUGAAGCUGUUUGAUGAAAUGGAGAAAGAGCAAAUAGUCCCCGACCAAGUGACAUUCGUUAGUUUGUUAAACGGCUGCAGCCACUGUGGGUUAGUGGAAGAAGGGUGCUGGGUUUUUGACGUGAUGCAACGAAUCUACAAUCUCAAGCCUCUGGUAGAGCACUACUACGGUUCAUAAUUAGUGGAUCUUCUGACUCGAGCAGGACAAUUGGAAGAAGCUUAUUCAACUAUAAAAUCAAUGCCUAUGGAACCCGAUCGAUCUUAUCAUAUGGAGGACACUUUUAAGUGGUUGUAGAAUUCGCCAACAACAACCCCAACUCGCUGAGAUUGCAGCGUCCAAGAUAUCCGGCCACGGCGGCAGUGGCAGUGGAUGGAGACUACGUCUUGCUGUCAAACAUCUACUCGUUAUUAGAUCGACGGCGUUCUGCUGAGAUGAUAUGGGAGACGAUGAGGAAGAAGAAGGCUCGAAAGGAGCGUGGUUUGAGUUGGUUCGAAAUCGACGGUCGAAUUUUCAAUUUAAAGUCAGGUGGUGUGAGGUCUCAUCCUGACUCAAAAAGCCAUGUGUUAAGUUGUUUGAUGGAAAAAUUAAAGGCAGCCGGAUUUGUGCCGGUGACAAGUAUGGUUAUGAUGGAUGUGUUGGAGGAGGAAAAGGAAGAGAAUUUGCCGUGGCAUACAUCGUGUCCAAGACAACUACGAUGGCGAGGGAUGAUCAUGCAUGAGGGGAAGGAAAUUAGAGCAUCUACCAUUUUCAUCGAUUUGAAAAUGGUAGAUGCAUGCUCUUGUAGUGAUAUUUCUACGUUUGAACUUUGCAAAUAUAUAUUCAAACAGAAUUGCUAAUAUCGAUCCCUUUCAGAACCUCUCCAGUUUCAUCCAUCGUCUUCAUUGUUGCGGUCAGAUCUUUUACACUAGGAGCGGCUUGUCGACAUGAGCUACAGUGUCGACGAUAGUGUUGGCCGGAAAUCAUUGGCAGUGGUUCGUCCAUGGAUGUUGCUUGCAACCGAUCGAGUAAAGAAAGGAGAUCGAGUUUGGCAUCUACCAACAAAAGAUAAGCAAAAAAACGUCGACCAUGAAAGAAAAAGAGAAAAUGAAUCGAGAGUGCACGCAACAAGCGAGCAGACGGGAAGACAUGGCUGAGACGGCGAGCUUUUUGUCUCCCCCAUCGAGAGGUGGUUGAAGAGGUGCCUGCCGGUGCUUUCUGAAAAUUUCCUCUCGAGGAAUAAAACAAAGAUUUGGCCGAAAAAACUCAUAAUUACUAUCUAUAUCAUCUUCUACCUAAAUCAACUUUUUAUUUCCAAUUUUACCCUACUACUAUCUCCACCACCUCCACUUAAUUACUAUAAAUAUUAAAAAUCGGACAUCCACCUUUCACCAACUAUCUCAUAAUAAGUCGCGUCUAUUCAUUAACACUUUACAGCUGACCUCGGCUUCAAAAUUAAGUGGACUGACUUCAUGAUUUCAUUUGAAGUUGGGUGAUAACUCAAUUCUCAUCAUUAAAUUCAAUUCCAACGACCCCACAUUUAAUUACUAUAUACUUGUUAAUUUUAGGUCAUAAUUUGAUUGUUGAAUGAAAUAAUAUGAAAAUAAGUUAUCAACUAUUCCUUCAUUCUUCUCCCAACAUCCGUUCUUCUCUUCUAGCUAUUAAGAUCAAACGCCCAUCACGUGCACAAACUAUUUUCCCAAAUCGAUCACCGGAGAAUAACAUCGAUCGAUGGCAUCUUCCGACCAGUCUCCCUCCGUCAACGGAAAAUAAUAUUCUGUUUAUCGAUACGGCCUUUUUAUUUAAUUUCCCGUUGUAUUCUUCAUACGACUUUGUUUUCAUUUAAUGUAAAUUUAAAAUUAAUUUAAAUUUAUAAUUAAUAAAUUAAUUAAUUAAAACUAAAAAUUAUAAACACCACAAAGUUUUGGUUGCAAUUUAUCUAUCAUUCCUAAACAUAUUCAUUGGAACGCACGUUUAAUAAACGCUUAAUAAUUAUAAUAAUUUUAUUUUUAUUGAACUUUUUAUUGACAAACUAAUUACAUAUAAACAGAAAUCAAAUAUAUAUAUAGCCGAUGACUUUCUUCAUCCCAUAUUUUAACAUAUAUAACAAAUUCUUAAUAUAUUGGUUUAGAACCGGAAUAAUAUAUAUUUCCUUUAUUCCAUAUAAUAUUUAAUUUUACCGUAUAUGUAUAUAUAUAUAUAUUAGCAUGCAGGACCGUAUUUUGCUACUGCCGCGGCUAUGUCUUCGGUUGUGAGAGUAGUUUUUAUGAAUGGAGAAGUACCUGUUGAAAAACGUCCUACCAAAAUCGUAUUCGUCAUGACAACAGCGGGGUUUAUAAUAUGUUCCAGGCCAAUACCAUGUCCAAUCAGAUGUAAAGCCACUGAGUGCAGAUCUAAGGAACCCGUAGGAGGACUAUGCGGGGUUGUUGACCAAGUCUCUCCUAUAUCAAAAAUGAGCGUUACUUGAAAUGGAGGACCCGGAGCCGUGGCUGUAGCUACGACAUUAGCGCCAGUUACUGACGAGAAUUGAAGAACUAUGUCGGCCCCUUUCUUCACCGAUGUCUGUGAAUAAAAUAUCGAUUAGAUGAAUAUUAUAUUAUUAUUGAUGAUAAUUAUGUUACGUUAUAAAUAUAUAUAUAUGUACACUAGUUUAAGAACUUACAAUUGCAAACUUUACACACGCCGCACGUUCCCAUGUAUCAAAAGCCUUUGUAAAUAUCCUUUUGCGGAUGUAAAAUGGAAUGGUAGUGCCAGACGGAUCGAGGUAGAACUUCACUCUACGAACGUCUCUGACCCGGGCAGUAGCAGGGAUGACUGCAUUACAGGUUUGUCCGGAUGAUGUUAUUAUGGAUGCGAGGAGGAAGAAACCAAGGAAGACAAGAUAUGACAUGGUGAAUUAAUGUCAAGAAUUUAGUUUCAAGCUUUGGGAAAUUGUGAUGUCUUCAAACUCAUCAUACACACCCAUAUUUAUACAACUUUUCUACAAUGUGAAUUUAAUGAGUUGAGAAUAAAAUGUUGACCGUAUUAAAGAGGGUGGACCCGUUUAAUGAAUAUUGAUGUCGAAAAUAUUUUAUUUUAUCACAUCAAAAUAAGUAGACAGACUUCAUUCUAUAUAGAGUUCGGUGAUAUCUCAAUUCUCACUAUUAAAUCCAAUUCCAACGACCCCACAUUUGAUUUCUACUUAUUCAUUUUGUUUAUUAAUUUAUUUAAAUAUCAUUAAAUAUGCACAUUAACUUGUAAAUUGUAAUCGGAAUCGCAUAAAUUUAGAUUUUUAUAUAAUUAAAUUGAGAUUUUGAUAUAAUUAAAAAGAUUUUGAUGUAAACUGACUUUUCAUGUCGAGAAAAAAAAUAUAAUUAAUGUUGACAAAUUUAUUUGCCCUACCUACUAAUUCUUCUGAUCAUUUGCAAUUUAUUUGGUAUCGAUAUAUAUUAGUGUGUCCAAAUUAUCAUACAAUUUUGCAUAUAUUUGCAAGUUGAAUUUUACAACUGGAAAUAGAUUACAAUUUAAAAACUUUUUUAAUUAAAAAUAAAAUAUUUUUAUUUUCUAACUUUUCAUAUCGAGAAAAAUUUAUAAUUAAUAUUAACAAAUACUUUUGUCCUAACUAGUUGUUUUUCAAUUAUCAUUAAUUCGUUAUUACACAUAUUUGCGUGUCNNNNNNNNNNNNNNNNNNNNNNNNNNNNNNNNNNNNNNNNNNNNNNNNNNNNNNNNNNNNNNNNNNNNNNNNNNNNNNNNNNNNNNNNNNNNNNNNNNNNGAAACACCCCGCUUACUAUCAGAAAAGGCGAGCUGUUUGAGAAGCUAAAGAGCCGAGCGGAUCUACCUGUCCCUCGUUCUUUAGACCCUGCAGGCAAAGAGGGCCGCAUGCAAUCUGGGAAAUACUGUGAAUUUCACAAAGACUGCGACCACCUAACAGAUAACUGCAGGGAAUUCUCGUCUUUCGUUGAGCAGUUGAUCUCAAAGGGAGAACUUGGCAACUUCGUCAAGAACUCCCGAGGACAAGACAACUGCAAACCUGACACAAAGGGGAAGCGUCCACGCUCUCCUUCGCCAGACAGUGACAACAGCGAGAACCGCCAGCGGAAGACCAUCAAUAUGAUAUUUGGUGGUGGAUCCGUUGGCAAGUGGCACUAGGGAAGGGGUUCCCCUGCCUUAAAAGCCAAGCUGUGACUGUCCUGGAAGAGCACCAGGGCAGGUUCGUUCGGGGGGGUGAGGCACCGACACAGAUUGCGCGCACAAACUGAACGUCGGCUCAUCCAUUCCAGCUCGACGCCAGAAGCGUCAAACACUCACUCCCGACAGGCGGGAGUCAGCCAAAGGAACCUGGGCAGACAAGUUGUGCAAAAUCCUAUGGGCAUAUCGCACCACGAGGAAGAGCCCUACGGGCUAGCAUAACAGAAAGGAAUAGGCCAAGAAAUAAACUAUCUUCCAACUCCGAAGGUCCCUACAUCGUUAAGGAGGAGAUAAGGCCAGGAGCUUAUCGCCUACAACGACUGGAUGGAGCAAUGAUUCCUAACACCUGGCAUGCGGACAACAUGCAGCAGUACUACGCAUAGUACUCACAAGCAUCAAGUUUAUUUUCUUUAGUUUUCCUAGUAUGUAUGUUAGCUAAUUAUAAAAUAUAUAUACGCAUUCUAACCCGUAUGGAUACCCUAAAUCUAUUGUGUCGCUUUGGCCUCAGUAGAACAAAGAUCAUUCCGUCGCUACGGCCCUAAUAAUCCCAUCCAAUCUUGUCGCUAAAAAGCCUUGAUAUUGAUCAACAAGUCACUCCGUCACUAGGAUAGGAGUCGACUACAUCGUCAAGGGUUCAAAUCCAGGGUUAGAAUAAAUAGGUCCAAUUCAGACACGCGUUGCGACCACAACUCUUAUUCGCACGAGCGAAUCAAAAACUAGUGGAUAUCAAACCACUUUCGCCUAUCGUGUUUAACUACGAUUCAUACGCCCAAACUUACGCUAAGUAAGGUGGAAAGAAUCUAACUUACGUCCAAAAGCGACUAAGUUACGAUUUAUGAUCCAACUACGAUUCGUACGACUAAACCUAUGUCCUAAGAAUCUAACUUACGUCCAGAGCGACUAAGUUACGAUUUAUGAAUCUAGUUUAACUCUAAAAACAUAUUAGCAAAAAAAAGGUGAUUUCAUUAACACAAAAAAUAGAAGGAAAUCUAUUACAAUAAUAGUUCAAUCUUCUUUCCUCGCUUCGCGAACAUCGCUUUUGAUCUUAUCUAAAGCCUCCUUGUGCUCCAGCUGCACUUCAGGAUGUUCUUCUAGCCACGCCAUAAUGUCUGAAAUGUAGUUGGCGGGCAGACUUGUAAACACGUGAGGUCCGAAAAAGUUCACGUCUUGGAGUUGAUCGGAUUGACCAUCAACUUCGAACUCCAAGUCCUUCACCUUCUCAGAAGAAACGUCCAGAGCUUCCUUCAUCUUCUUCGACUCCUCCGUGGAUCGAGAGAAGCGAUCUUGUAAAUCCUUCAGGGCAGAGGUGGAUUCAGAAACUUCAACUUGCAAUUUCUGAAUUUGUGUUUCAGAAAUCAUCGCAUUUCCCACUUCCACGUCCAGCUGCGUCUUCAGCAUAUCAAUUCGUUUUCGAGCAGCAGCGAGAAGCGACUCAUUUUCUUUCAGAGAGUCACAGCUUCGGCGAAGAUCAGUAAUUUCAAGUCGGUGCGCAGCGCACUCUUUGUUCUUCGCCGCUAUCGCUUUCUCGUGCUCAGCAGCUUGUUCCUCCAACUUCUUAUUCCGUUGGAGGGUCUUUCUCAACGACCACACUUCUUUACAGACAGCUUGAUACUUGUCAUCAAGCUUGUUAUACUCCUGUUGAGAACGGAGUGUGUCGUUCGCAGAUUGCAUCCCAAUGGUUGCAUUCGAUAGAUACGCGACCUACAAAACAAAACAAUCAAUUAGUAAAAUAAAAUAAAGCAAUUAUGCGUAACAAGCGAUUGUGAAUCACUUACAGCAGAUAUAGCUUUUCCAAGCUCUUCACGUAUCCAAUCCCCAGAUUAGUCAGAAGCAGCUUGGCAGCCUUCGUCCGCACCCCUUCAUCAGCAAACAAGCCCGGAUAAUCAAAUGUGGUGCGGAAGGGGGCGUACUCAGGAACAGACCUCGAGCUCGACCCAGUCUCGAAGGUUCUGCGGGGGCCAGUCUCUUGGGCCUUCCGUUCUCUUAUCAGCUUAGCGCCGCGAAGUCUCACGGCCAAAUGGGGAAGAACUGCCUCGCGGUAGAGAUGUGCACCCUUCUUCUUCUUUAUCGGGUUGCCAGAAGGGUCCUCUGACCGCAGGUAGUGUGCCACGUCAGAAAAAGUAAAGUCCUCUCGCUGGCACAAAGCGAAAGGAACUCCUUGCCCACAUUCAAAAGAAGCGAGAGCAGAAGAGAUCUUCUUCACCCGCUUCAGUUCAGCCUUGCUCAGGGCGCAAGGAACAUCCAGGUGUACGCGGCGAGCGUUGGCCCACCUCUCGCGACUCCCGCGUACAAAUGUAGAAUCGAUAAAAAAGAACUCACUCUUCCACUGAGGCCCAUAGUUAGUGGGGAGUUCUAUUAUCAGCUCUCUUCCGCUAAACCGCUUUGCCAACCCCAACCGACCAGAUUCGGAAGCGGGCGCCUUGACAAAUUUAAAAAACCAGAAGAACAAGGCGGCGGUUGCAGGGAUGUUCAGGAUCCAACAGAUGUUGGAGAAUCCUCUCAAGUACACAAAAAACGCUGCCUGCAUCUGCGACAGCGACACCCCCCGUGAAGAAGCACUUCACUCAUCAGUGCUGGAAUCGGCAGCAUCGAGAAGUGUCGGAAAUAGAGGCGGGGGAUGGCUUGAAACCCGGCUGGAGGCAGGUUCGCGGGCUGAUAUUGCGACCCCCAGAACCGCAAGUGCCCAGAAAUACGAAUCCCCCGUAAAAUCUCACGGGCUUCAAGUGCAGAAGUUAUCGAGAAUGGAUGCACGCUCUCGUUCUGCGGCACGAGAGGUGCAUUGACAGAAACUUCUUCAAAGGACCCCUCAUCCGUAUCACUGAGGGGUAACAAUCUGAUUUCACCACCCGGCAGAGUUUCGCAGUGAGCAUAGCCGGUGUGGUUCUCAACUCCCUCGUAGAAUAGGAGGUUUACAUGAUCUCCAUCCUUGUCCAUUUCCAAAGGAGGAGGAGGAGUGUUCGAUCUGUCAUCGCGGCUUCGACUCUGGCCGCGGUCAACUGGAAUCUCCUGAGUAUAGUUAAAGGGCUCAGGUACCCUUACAUCUUCCGCAGAGGGGAAGUGCACUUUUCCUCUACCACCCAUCCCAUAAAUAUGAGGAAUGGGGGCAUUAAUGUUGUCAGACUUCUCGGAAGAAUCCCUAGCAUGUUUAGGGUGCUUCCUCUUUCUCUUCUUCGGCCUCUCAAAUUCAUCAAUCGGCCUGUCAACAUCCACCACUUGGAUAGGUGGAAAAUCUUCAAUUCCAACCCCCGAGUUUGGGGGCAAUGUCGGCGACUUAAGUGUUGAACUCGCCGAUGUUGGUACGGAACUCGCCGAUCCGAGUUGAAUUACUCGGCGAGGUCUCUUAAACAUGGGGACAACCCCCUUGCCUUUGGCCAGCGACUUCCCAAGGGGACUCGCCGACUUAGCUGCAAGAGUCGGGGGAUCUCACCCAGUUCAAUAAGGGGCUCUGCCACGACCAGAGUCAGGGAGUCAUCCGUCAAACUCGCCGAUUUCUUGCUAGAACUCGGCGAGUUUUCAGGAGUCAGCCCGAGCAACUCGCGGGCAGUAGCAAGGAACCUGACGUUCUGAGGCGCGUCGACAGCCGGAAUCUCCGACCCACCGCGCGAAGGCGAGGGAAUCGGAGACUCGACGGUGUCGAGCACCCCCGUCAGGCCUUCAUCUAUAUCAUCGUUCAGUAUGUCGGCGACCAGAGUUUCGGUCUCCGACAUUGUCAAUCUAGGGAGAAACGGUUCGUCUGCCAUAAGUCGGCGAUUUAGAAGUAGACUCAGAGACUUGGUGAAAAGAUCUGGUGAUUGUAAUGAAAGUCGGCGAGUUAUGAAGAAGCUCGGUGACUUAGAAAGGGAUUAGGGUUUAAGCAAAAUCAGGGUAAGUGGUGUGCGGAUUAAAAUAAUCGACUCACUAUUUAUAGACCCUGGGUAAAUUGCAACCCCCCCGGAGAAUCUACAAAUUACGCGAAGAAAAAUCGCUAAUUGAUCUCCAAAUCCGCAAACUCGGCGAGUCUCUCGCAAACUCGCCGAGUUUGGGAAAAAAUCACGGGAUACGAGGAGGAAAUUUCCAUACUUGGAAAAUUUGCAAAUAUUUCCCAAGAUCCUAAGGAUUCUCGAAGAGAUCCGCCAGCUCAUACUAAAACUCGCCGAGUUUAUAGGAAAAUCGCCGAUCCAGGUCAGCGAAUCUCCAGGUUUCUCAAAAAAUACCUUCAAUACUAAGUCGGCGAGUUAACACUUUAAGUCGCCGACUUAGGAUAUACACAGUAUCUUAGGGGGAAAAUCACAAACCUCCUUCCACAACUUCAGGGGAGAGUAUCACAAGCUCUCCCGACAUUUCUAUCGCUUUGGCUAGAAAUAGUCAAACCUCAGGGGGGAGUAUCACAAGCUCUCCCGACAUUUCUAUCGCUUUGGCUAGAGAUCGUCAAAACUCAGAGGGGAGUAUCACAAACUCUCUCGACUUUUCUGUCUCCGGCCGGAAAUUGUCAAAACUCAGGGGGGAGUGUCACAAACUCUCUCGACUUUUCUGUCUCCGGCCGGAAAUUGUCAAAACUCAGGGGGGAGUAUCACAAACUCUCUCGACUUUUCUGUCGCUCCGGCCGGAAAUUGUCAAACCUCAGGGGGGAGUAUCACAAGCUCUCCCGACACUUCUGUCGCUCUGGCCAGAAGUCGUCAUACAUAAGCACGGUCAGUCUGUCGCUUCAGCCAGAUUCACCGAGGAGUGGUUAAAGUAAGGAAAAGAGUAUCGCAAGAGGUAUUUUCGGUCAAUAAUCAUAUGCGUUUUCAGACUGAUCUAGUUGUUUUGCAGGAUGUUUUCUUUUGUUGUUUUGCAGGACGUUUUCUUUUUUGCAGGUAUUAUUCUGUCGCUUUGGCAAGAAUAAGACUCUAAUAGUGAGUCCAAGUAUCUUGUCGCAUUCUGCCUUGAUACACUAGAGAUCGUUCUGUCGCUUUAGCCUUAACGAUUCUCAACCCAUCUUGUCGCUAAAAAGCCUUGAAGGGGGCCGUCGUUGCGGACUUUAAGUCGCUCUUGAUCAGAGUGGACUAUAAACAUUAGUUCUAUCGCUUCGGCUAGAACUUGGGUCUAUCGCUCUGGCAAGAACCCGAUUAUGUCGCUAAAUAGCCUUAAUCGAUUCCGUCGCUUUGGCCGAAAUUUAUCUUGUCGCUUCGGCCUCGAUAACACAGUGCAGUCGCCCCUGAUCAGGGAAGGACUAUAAACAUGAGUUACCGUGGCCUGGAACUCGAUCUAUUCUUAUCGCUUUGGCCUAUGGAUUCUGAAUCAUUACGUCACUGUGGGCGGAUGAUUCGAUCUCAUCUUGUCGCUUUGGCCUUGGUGCUGGGUCUAACACUUUGAACCUUGAUUGACGGGGGGGGUACUAGUGAUACACCAUGUUUCUUGUGCUCUCUUCAGGGGGGAGUACUGGAGAGACAUGCCUGAUUACACCAGUCACUACCCAUCAACGCCUCUCAACAAGGACUAGGGCUCCGUCGCUAUGGCAGGACCCCCGGAGAGCUCCCACGGUGCGGAACACGUUCAUCGUCUAGAUCGCCGAGUUAGCCCGUAAAGUCGCCCGAUUGGACUACCAAGUCGCCGACAUACAGGAUAACUCGCCGAGUUAAGGCAAGAUCGGCAGUAUGGUAGACUGUACAUCUUGGACCUAGAAACUCGCCGAGUUAGCCCUUAACUAGGCGACUUCCAUACCUGAAUCGGCGACUUACGACCGUUACUCGGCGGCAGCCAACGUCAUAAAUGUUACCAUAUAUGACCAUAGGCGCGAUCUCCGCCGAUGAGUGCGCCCUCCGAGACCCUAUAAAAGGGGUCCCAAGGGGACACUCAAAGGCACGAUUCAAGUUCCACUCUCACACCAGAGCACCACACUACGAAACUCGGCGAGUCUCAUUAGAAUCGCCUAGUUUCCACUUGCAGGUAUUUGAUGUAGAGCGUGCGUCGUGGACUCCAAAGCCUCCGGCAUCAACCUCGCACCACCUCGAGCCCUGGUAGCAGAUUCAGUGCUUCAUCACCUAUGUAGACGAUCUAUUGGUCACAGGGAAUAACAUUAACUAAAUAAAUAAAACAAAAAUGGAACUAGCAAAUUUUUUCAACAUAAAAGAUCUAGGAAAAUUAAAAUAUUUCCUAGGACUAGAAUUCACCUAUGCACAAACAGGAAUAUACAUGGGACAAAGAAAAUAUAUACUAGACCUGUUAGAAUCAACCGGGUAUCUGAAUUCAAAACCAAAAACUACACCAGCAAAGAAAAUAACAAAAAGGAAAAUGAUGAAACAGAACUCGAGGAUGCCACACAAUACAGGAGCAUAGUAGGAAAAUUAAUGUACCUGCUAACUGUAACAAGACCAGACAUAACAUACGCAGUAAAUACACUAAGCCAAAACAUGGCUAAACCAAGGCAAAAUGACCUAAACGCAGCACAUAAAGUGCUAAAAUAUAUUAAACAAUCACCUUGUUUUGCUAUCUCUUUCUCAGGAUCCAACACAUCAGGAUUAAGAGCCUUCUCAGAUUCCGAUUGGGCAUCAUGUCCUUCAACAAGGAGAUCGACAACAGGGUUCGCCAUAUUUCUUGGGGGAUCUCUAAUAUCAUGGCAAACAAAAAAACAACACACAGUUGCUAGAUCAUUAGCAGAAGCGGAGUACAGGGCAUUAGCAUAUACAAGUUACGAGAUAACAUGGAUCAUCAAUCUACUAAAAGAAAUCAGAACUUACAAGAAUGAGACACCAAUCCUUUACAUGGACAGCAAGUCUGCAGCAGCAAUAGCAAAGAACCCAGUACUACAUCAAAGAACAAAACACAUCGAGAUUGAUAUUCACACAGUGCGCGAUAAAAUCAUGGAAUUUUUUUUGAAGAUAGACAGGACUCGAGAAUGAAUGUAGCCAACAUGUUUACAAAGCCAGUAAUGGGAACAUUGUACAAAAUACUACUGAUGCAACUCGGAAUGAAGAACAUACAUCAAGGAAGAACAGAAAAUAAAAUCAAAGAAGGUGAAGGAAGGGAAGAAAACCUUUGACACCGAAGCGACUCCUGCCAAAACCCUAGGAUCACCAGCCGACAAUAUUCAAAGAAAAACCCCACACACGCCUUUUAUAGUAACACCAAUAAAACUAACCCAAUAAAUCCCUAUAUCCAUAUAUCCGAAUAACCGAAUAUCCACAUCCAUAUAUCCGAAUAUAAGCCCAUAACCCAAAUACUAGCCCAAAUCUUAGUAGCUUAUGGCCUUAUUUUCGAGGGAGACUAUUAGAAUUAUUGGGAAAAUUAUCCCUCUAGUACCUACAAAACUAUAAUAUCUCAUUACUUAUUAUCCAAUCCAAUCAUUCUCAAUAUAUACCUACUUCCUAAUAUAUUACUCCCUAAUAUAUCUAUUUCCUAAUCCAAUUUAUUACCAUAAUUAAUCACACCAACCAAACCUACCUAAACCUUUAUAGCCGUUGGGUUUCUACCUCUAUAAAUAUGGAUCAUCAUAACAUAACCUAUAGGUUUUGGAUUCAAGUUUUUGGUCCCAAAUCACCAUCUCUAUCUUCUUCAAUCUGUUCUCUGGAAUCUGCAAUCUGUCCUCUGGAAUUCAAAUCAUCUGAUCAAGCUUGCUCUUCAUCUGGAGAUUAUUCAUUUGAUCUGUUCAUCAUCUUCAUCAUCUCCAGCAACUACAUUCUGCAAUCAUCUUAAUCUUCACGAAUCUGUAUUGUCAUUUACUUUCCAACAAGUUCAAUAUUGUCAUACAUAAAUAUUGCAUUACAUCUCAAAUACUUGGAUAAUCAUACAUCAUAAUUAUAUAAUUCUAACAACAAUAGACCCAACAAAAGCCGGUAGCAGAUCCACAACGCUAUGCAGAUUGUUAAGCAUCAUCCAAGACACCUCUCGUGGGAGUACCGGAAGUAUAUCCUUAACUUUAAACGACAUCUUCAACACGUCCACACCCAACAACGAUCCCCAUCUUCCGCCGCACACCGCGAGCCACAAAACCCACAGGAAAGCAGUUGUCGUGGUCAUGAGGUAGCGAAAGCUGUGCCUGCCUGGUCAUUUAAUUGCCACACGGAACAGUGGAAGUUUUGCCUUUUGGCAUUUGGUGGUAUAUUUAUCAAAACCAUAUACUUAAAACUCAUUCCCAAUUUCCCACACUAUUAUGUGCAACGGGGGAUGAAGAAAUUACUGGUGGAUACCAUUUGGGUAGACGAUGAACCGGAACCAUGAAAUGGACAAUCGAUAAGGACUGGAGCCAUCACCUGAACAAAUGAACUAGAACCAUUACCGGAAUAAAGGAAGACGCCGAAAACUGGAAUGCACUCGCCGAAAACGGAACUGCGGAAGACGGACAUGAUCGAGAAACAGAACGAUGAACGAAGAAGAACGGAAAUCGUCGAUCGGAAACCCAGAAAUAGACGGCGGAAAAAAACUAGCCGGAGAACUGCGGAAGACAAUCGACUGAAAAUAACCGAGGAAAAAAACUAGCUGGAAAAAAGCCCCUUGAACAAAUGUCACAGUCAUAUCAAUUAAAUUAAUAAUUUCUAAAUUAUUUGAAAACAAAUCUUUAAUGAGUGAGGUAACUUUCCGUUUAUCCAAAUUUUGUGGUUCAUUAAAAGAUUGCUCGUCUGUACAUAUAUGUGGUAUAUAAAAAAGAAAACAAGUUAAAAAUUAAAAUACAGUUUUUUUUAGAUACGCUCAAAAUCACUCACCCUAUCUAAACUAUUGGAUCUUCUUAUAGUCAAUCUUAGUCGUUAUUUUUUUAAUCAUUAAAGCGGUUUGGACCCAGAGUCCCGAGUUCGGGUCCAGAUUAGCCAGACCCGGCUGGACCUAGACCCGGAUAUUAUAAUUGUUAGAUAAAUAUUUUAUAAUAUAUUAGUAAGUUAAGGUUUAAAUAUAAAUAUUUUAAAAUAUAUUUUAUAAUAUAUUAAUAACUUAAGGGUUAAAUAUAAAUACACCAUUUAUAUUUUAUAGAAUUUGUAUCAGUUAAUCUGAUCCGUCGGUUGUCUAAUCGAUGGAUCAAAUAUUGAAUUUUGAUUUUUUGGUUAAUUUUGUCAUUAGUAAUGUUUUACCUGUUUUUGUAGGUAAAGUUUAUAAGGGUUGAUAGGUUAGGUUGAUACGUGUGCAGUUAUAGGUCUUUUAUUAUAUAUUUAUUGCUUUGUCUUGUCUAUGUGCAUGUCUUCUUCUAUUUCAGUUCAUCAUUCUCCUGUUUUUCUGUUUCUUCUCCUGUUUUUCUUAUUUUUCUCCAGUUUUUCUUCUUUUUCGGUGUUGAGUUUAUCAUUCUCAUGUUUUUCUCCUUCUUCUUUAGUUUUUCUUCUUCUUUUUAUUUGAAACUGGAUUUUCCAUUGUAACAGGUGUUUUCUUCUUCUUCUUGGGUUUUAUUUUCUUUAUAUUGAUUUUACCAUUUUCCAGUUUAAUCUCAUCUGUUUAUUUGGUUUACAUUCCUUUGAUUUCAGUGCGUUAGGCCCUAGGGCAGGAGUUAUAAAUACCUCCCAUGGUGCAGAAGGGAGGGGGAUCGGUUACCUGAGAAUAGGAAUAGUAGAGAAUUGUGUGUGUGAGCACCUCAGCGCGAGCCCACACACCAUCAACGGUGAACCUGACGUGAAACUAAUACUCAACCGGAGAGAGGAUGGUCGGAGGGAGCUGGUUCCACAAAGGGCAAAGCUCGAAGCAGCUCGGGCAGAAACAGCUCGCGACAGGGAGCUGAGCCCGAAUACUGCAAGGGCGGAGCGAUCGCGAGAGGAGGGGAAGACUCGGAUAGAUCCGAUCCCUACUUCUCAUACAGAAAGCAGUGCGUCGCCUGGGCGCUCGAGACCCAGGAGGCAGCGUGGAGGGCGAGAAUGGAGGAUGCGGACAGGGUGGCCUGGCACAAGGAGAGGGACGCCGCAAAGGAGAUGGCCCGACGUUUGAAGAAGGACGACAGACGUAGGGAGGAGAGGAAACAGAGACGGGAGAGGCGGGACCGCUCCCGGACCCCAACGGAGAGGGGGGAGCGCCGCAGGAGGAAGCCCUUAGAAAAUGCGAAGCUCUCGGAAAUGGUCUCCGCUCUACAGAACAGCCAGCGGCAGUUGCGAGAAUAGGUCCUCCAACUAACCGCCGAACGGUGAGUGCUGGAGUCGGAUGGCGUUGGUGGAGGCACAGCAGGGGGGACCCCGCGAGUGGAGCGAUAGUCACGGUGCCCGGCACGGGGGGUGGGGAAUCCCUAGCACAACAUUUGCUGGAGGGCGAGUACCCCAUCGGCUGGAGAACCCCAAAGAUCCCCGAGUACAAGCUAGAGAGAUAUCGACCCAAGCGACCACCUUUAUUCCUUUAAAACAAACAUGGAGGACAGAACCGAUAGGAAGGACAUUUGGUGUAGAAUGUUUCGAAGGGCGUUCGCGGGUGACGACGUAGCGUGGUACAGAACACUCCCCAAGGCCUCGGUCCAUACCUUCGAGGAGCUAGAGAGAACCUUCUUGGCGGCGUUCGCCCACAAGUGAAGGAGACCGAAGACCAAAACCACCCUCAGUGCAGUAGUACAGGGGGACUUCGAGAGCACGCGAGCGUACAUGAACCGGUUCGCGAGGGUGGUGAAGGAAAUCAAAUGUAACGCCACUGACUCCAGAUCUAAGGAAUUUGUAGGAGGAGUAUUCGAGCCUGUUGACCAAGUCUCUCCUAUAUCAAAAAUGAGCGUUACUUGAAAUGGAGGACCCAGAGCCAUGGCCGUAGCUACAUGAGGGUCAGCUACUGACGAGAAUUGAAGAACUAUGUCGGCUCUUCUAUUCACCGAUGUCUGUGAAUAAAAUAUCGAUUAGAUGACUAUUAUAUUGUUGAUGAUAAUUAUGUUACGUUAUAAAUAUAUAUAUAUGUACAAUUGCAAAAUUUACACACGCCGCACGUUCCCAUGUAUCAAAAGCCUUUGUAAAUAUCCUUUUGCGGAUGUAAAAUGGAAUGGUAGUGCCAGACGGAUCGAGGUAGAACUUCACUCUACGAACGUCUCUGACCCGGGCAGUAGCAGGGAUGACUGCACUACAGGUUUGUCCGGAUGAAGUUGUUAUGGAUGCGAGGAGGAAGAAACCAAGGAAGACAAGAUAUGACAUGGUGAAUUAAUGACAAAAAUUUAGUUUCAAGCUUUGGGAAAUUGUGAUGUGUUCAAACUCAUCAUACACACCCAUAUUUAUACAACUUUUCUACAAUGUGAAUUUAAUGAGUUGAGAAUAAAAUGUUGACCGUAUUAAAGAGGGUGGACCCGUUUAAUGAAUAUUGAUGUCGAAAAUAUUUUAUUUUAUCACAUCAAAAUAAGUAGACAGACUUCAUUCUAUAUAGAGUUAGGUGAUAUCUCAAUUCUCACUAUUAAAUCCAAUUCCAACGACCCCACAUUUGAUUUCUACUUAUUCAUUUUGUUUAUUAAUUUAUUUAAAUAUCAUUAAAUAUGCACAUUAACUUGUAAAUUGUAAUCGGAAUCGCAUAAAUUUAGAUUUUUAUAUAAUUAAAUUGAGAUUUUGAUAUAAUUAAAAAGAUUUUGAUGUAAACUGACUUUUCAUGUCGAGAAAAAAAAUAUAAUUAAUGUUGACAAAUUUAUUUGCCCUACCUACUAAUUCUUCUGAUCAUUUGCAAUUUAUUUGGUAUCGAUAUAUAUUAGUGUGUCCAAAUUAUCAUACAAUUUUGCAUAUAUUUGCAAGUUGAAUUUUACAACUGGAAAUAGAUUACAAUUUAAAAACUUUUUUAAUUAAAAAUAAAAUAUUUUUAUUUUCUAACUUUUCAUAUCGAGAAAAAUUUAUAAUUAAUAUUAACAAAUACUUUUGUCCUAACCAGUUGCUUUUCAAUUAUCAUUAAUUCGUUAUUACACAUAUUUGCGUGUCCAAAAUAUUUUAUUUUAUCACAACAAAAAAGUGGACAGACUUCAUUCUAUCUGAAGUUGGGUGAUAUCUCAAUUCUCACUAUUAAAUCCAAUUCCAACGACCCCACACAUGAGAUUUCUACUUGUUCAUUUUGGUUAUUAAUUUAUUUAAAUAUCAUUAAAUAUAUGCAUUAACUUGUAAAUUGUAAUCGGAAUCGCAUAAAUUUAGAUUUUUAUAUAAUUAAAUUGAGAUAUUGAUAUAAAUUAUUUUUUUAUAUAAUUAAAAAGAUUUUGAUGUAAAACUGACUUCUCACGUAGAGAAAAAAAUAUAUGAUUAAUGUUGACAAAUUUAUUUGCCCUACCUAAUAAAUCUUCAGAUCUUUUGCAAUUAAUUUGGUAUCGACACUUUAACGGAUCCAAAUAAUCAUACAAUUUUGCAUACAUUUGCAAGUUGAAUUUUAUCACUGAAAAUAGAUUGCAAUUUAUAAAUUAUUUUAAUUAAAAAUAAAAUAAAAAUAUAUUAUUUUUUCUUCUAAUUUUUUACAUCAAGAAAAAUUUAUAAUUAAUAUUGACAAAUACUCUUGUCCUAACUAGUUGCUUUUCAAUUAUCAUUAAUUCGUGAUUACACAUAUUUACGUGUCCAAAAUAUUUAUUUUAUCACAUCAAAAGAAGUGGUCAGACUUCAUUCUAUCUGAAGUUGGGUGAUAUCUCAAUUCUCACUAUUAAAUCCAAUUGCAACGACCCCACAUUUGAUUUCUAGUUGUUCAUUUUGGUUAUUAAUUUAUUUAAAUAUCAUUAAAUAUGUACAUUAACUUGUAAAUUGUAAUCCAACGUGAUCGUAUAAAUUAUUUUUUGAUAUAAUUAAAAAGAUUUUGAUGUAAACUGACUUUUUGCGUCGAUAAAAAAUAUAUAAUUAAUGUUGACAAAUUUAUUUGCUCUACCUACUAAAUCUUCUGAUCAUUUGGAAUUAAUUUGGUAUCGACACAUAUUAGUGUGUCCAAAUUAUCAUACAAUUUUGCAUAUAUUUGCAAGUUGAAUUUUAUCACUGAAAAUAGAUUACAAUUUAUAAAUUAUUUUAAUUAAAAAUAUUUUAUUUUUCUCUUCUAAUACCACAAAAUAUAUGGACAAACACAAGUACUUUAUCUAAAGUGGAAUGAUAUUCUCAUGCACCAUUAAAUCCAACCACACAUAAGGGUUCAUUUUAUCCAAACCCCAACCCCACAUUUUUCACCAUUAAUUCUCACAAUUAAAUCCAACCCCAAUCCCAAAUUUAAUUACAAGUUUUUUCUUUUAGGUCAAAAUUUAUUUAAAUGUCAUUAAAUAUGUGCAUAAACAUGUAAAUAAUAAUCUAAUGUAAAUAGUAUAAAAUAAGAUUUUUAUAUAUUUAAUAGAUUUGGAUUUAAACAGACUUUUCACGUAUAGAAAAAUAUAUAAUUAAUGUCAAACAAUUAACUUGCCCUACCCAAUAAUUCCUUUUGACCGCUUACAAUUAAUUUGAGAUCGACACAUAUUUGCGUGUCCAAAUUUGCAUACAAUUUUGUAUACAUUUGUAAGUUGAAUUUUAUCACAAAAAAUAGAUUACUAUUUAUAAACUAUUUUAAUUAAGAAAAAAUAAAAAUGUUUUAUUUUUCUCUUCUAACUUUUCACGUCGAGAAAAUUGUAUAAAUAAUAUUGACAAAUACCCUUGUUCUAACUAGUUACUUUUCACUUAUCAUCAAUUUAUGAUCGACACAUAUUUGAGUGUCCAAAUUAUUUUACUUUAUCAUACCAAAGUAAGUAGACAAACUUCAUUUUAUCUGAAGUUUAGUGAUAUCUCAAUUCUCACUAUUAAAUCCAAUUCCAACGACAUCAUAUUUAAUUACUAGUUGUUAAUUUUAGGUCAUAAUUUAUUUAAGUGCCAUUAAAUAUGUGCAUAAACUUGUAAAUUGCAACCCAAUGGCAUCUUAUAUAAAUUUAGAUUUUUAUAUAAUUAAAUUGAGAUUUGGAUAUAAACUAUUUUUUGAUAUAAUUAAAUAAAUUUUGAUGUAAAAUGACUUUUCACGUCAAGAAAAAAUGAUGUAAAUUUUUUAUUUUCCCUACCUAAUAAUUCUUCUGAUCAUUUGCAAUUAAUUUGAGAUCGACACAAAUUCUUCUGAAUUUUAUCACAGAAAAUAGAUUACAAUUUAUAAACUAUUUUAAUUAAUUUAAAUAAAAAUGUUUUAUUUUUUACUUCUAACUUUUUACGUCGAGAUUUUUUUUAUAAUUUUUGUUGACAAAUACCUUUGCCCUAACUAGUUAUUUUUGUAGAAUCUAAAUUGUUGAUGCAUAUUAUGUAUUGAUAAUCAUGUUUAGUUAACCAUUAUCAUGUUGUUAUUCCCUAGCUAGGAUAAAUUGAAUUUGAAUUAAACCUAAUUUCAAUUAGGUUUAAUUAUAUUAAACCUUAGAAUUAUUUGAGCAUGUCUAAAUAAAGUCAAAAUUCAAAGAACGAUUUUUAUGGUCAACAAGUCAACAUGUUGUAGUUGAGAAUCAAUAGGGUAAAUUGAUUUGAAUUAAACCUAAUCUCAAUCAGGCACAUAUUAACCUUAGAAUUAUUUGACCAUAUAAAAAUUCAAGUCAAAAGUCAAAACCCUAAUUUCGUGGUCAACAUGUCAACAUUGUGUAUUUGAGAAUUAUUCCUAAUUACCAUUAACUAUUCUUAAUCUUUGUCUUAUAGCAAAUUUCAAUAUAAGGAUGGAAAUAAUACAAAAGAGGAAUUCAUGUGAAUAAUACAAGAAAUACAUGGGUUGAAGAGAAGCUAAACCUUGAUUAAAGAUAAACUUAUCAUAGAACAAAGGAAAAAUAUCCAACCACAUUUUUUACUCUUGUGAAAGAUCAAGGAACUAUUGAUUCAAGAUCUAAUGGAGAAGAUCAUUUGGUCAAAGCUAUAAAUAGAGUGGUAUACCCAUUGCAAAAGCCAACCACGCUACAAGAGAUUUUCAAAUAUCAGCAUUGAGCCCCUCAUUUCCACUCUUAACGUCCACAACUUUCAAAAUCUCCAAGUUUCCAACGUUUUCAAAUUGUGUUCAAAUGUUCUUGUUCAAAGGUGUCAAAAGCUCUACACUUCUUCUUCUAAUCUUCUUGAGUGUUCAUAGCAAGUUUGAAGUGUUGUAAUCCUAAACUUUCUCCAUCAUUUUCGUGUGUAUUCCACUUUAGUUGAGAGAGUUGUCUCAAAAUCACCAAAGUGGAAAGGAGGGUUAUUAGGCUUAAUCAUAAAGCUCUAAGUUAGUUUUAUAGAGUUAUCUAGAAAACUCUUAGGUGCUAUACGUCUACCUGGAAAGACUUGGGAAAGUUUUAAGUUUACUUUAAAAACUUAAAUGGUUCGUAAGCAUUGUAGUCUGUAAAAAGCCUACAAAAGGUUCGUAAGCAUUCACUACAAGAAAAGAAAUCUACAACGACGAUUUUGGAUCAUCGCUCAAUUUUAAGAAGGAUUUUAAAGAAAACACACGAUGUUAGCGACGAUAUAAAAAUGAUCUUUUUUUGUAUAAUUAACGACGAUAUAUUGAUAAUCGUCGCUAAAUAUACGAAUUAUAGCAACGAUUUAAAAUUUAACGUCGCUAAUAAUGAGUACAAAUUUAUAAAAUUUUAUAACAAUAAGGUAUUUAUGUAAAAUGACCCUUUUAUAUAUAAUUGUCUUUUAUUAUAAAAUCCCAAAUUUCCCUUUCACUAAGCCUAAACGCUCCAUUUUCCCAAUCUCUCCUAUCGCCGAAUUUCCCCAAUCUCCCCUAUCACUGGAUUUUCCCGCCAGUCAUCAUCAACGGACGAUAGAUUUUCCUAUCGGUCAUCAUCAACGAACGCCGGCAUCAAUAUGGAGCAGAUAUGUUCAUUGGGUUUCUAGCUGUAUCUUCCCUAUUUCUGUUUGGAUUUCUUGUUGGAUUUCUGUUUGGGUUUGUCAUUGGAGCUUGUUUGCAUCUUUCUGUUUGGGUUUGAAUCCUUGCUAAUUCGUUUUACACAAUGUUUUGUUUCUGUUUGAAUCGUUGCAUCGUUUUGUUUCUGUUUGAAUCCUUGCAUCGUUCUAUUUGGAUUUGAAUCCUAGCAAAUUCGUUUUACACAAUGUUCUGUUUCUGUUUGAAUCCUUGCAUCGUUCUGUUUGGAUUUAUGUUUGGGUUAGGAUUUUAUACAAUAUCAAAUAUAAAACUAAUAUCCUUUAGAAAUGCCAAAUAGUUUCAAAUUAAGACAUCAAUUAUCAAUCAAUAAAAUUAAAAUACAAGCAUAUCACAAAAAAAAUACUCGAUAUAUUGAUUGCUGGCAAUUGGAGAUGGUGGAUCUCCAGGUUGUAGAUUUAUAAAGUAUUUAUUUUUAUUUGGGGAUUGGAAAUUCUGUUUGGAUUUAUGUUUGGUGGGAAUGGGCUGGGAUCAUGUACUUAUAAUCAUAGAAUCCACUAGAUCAUCAGAUUAUAAGUGAUUUUCAUACCGAACCAGACCUGAAUAGGGGUUAUAUACAUUCUCAUUAUGAGAGGGUUCUAGCAUAUGUAAAUGGAAUUACUCGUUUGAAUCAGUUUUACACAAUGUUGAAUCGGUUUAAUUCGUUUUACACAAUAUUCUGUUUCUGUUUGAAUCAGUCAUUAUAUUACUGUUGGUGUAUAGACUUGUCGGUGCAAGCUCAAAACCUCAACUCUCUCAAGUGUUCACUCUCUCGUAUUGUCAACCCCCUCCCCUGUUGGACCAGGAGAGAUAUUUAUAGUUUCUUCUCGCCGACCUCGGGCCUCGUGGGCUCGUGUGUUGGGCCCGUCCACUCGCCUGGGCCGCCGACAGGCCCUGUUCGGUCCAUGGUACCAACAGUACUCCCCUCUUCCUCGACGGGCCCGGGCCCGGGGGCCGCCUGUCCCCGUCCCGUCUACAACCACCUCCAUUAAAGCUCCUCGGUGUUUGAGCCCAUCCUCCUUCUCCUUCCUAUAAAUAGCCUACUCGACUCUUCAACUUCUCAUACCAUCCCCCCUUCCGCCAUGAGUGUUCAAGACAUCCUCGAAGAGUACGGUCGCGAAGUGCAACUUCAGCAUGCCGCCUGGGCCAUGUGCCUGAUGUCGCCCGCCGACGUCCCUAACAGCGUGGCCGUGGCCGAGACUCAACGUCUAAACGCCGUGUUGAUCGACGUCCAUCGUCACCUCUCCCAGGUUCGCCACUCCGACCUUCUCGCCUACCCCGGUACCGCUCUUGCCGCCGUCUCGGGCUCCGCCGGCACCUCGCGUGCCUUCAGCGCGUAUGGUAUGAUCACCGCUCCUGCUGUCGCCGCCGCUGCCGAUUCUCUGCCAAAGCGUCGUCGGUCGCGCGGCCAUCGCCGCUCCCGGGGGUCUUCGUCCCUUCCGGCUACUGACCUGUGCCACUUCCUGUCGGGGUCCUCGAAGUCGGCCCGUGAUGAAGCACGGAAUCUGCUACCAGUAGGCUCGCGGGGUGGCGAGAUGAUCCGGAGGCUGUGGAGUCCACGACGCGCGCUCUACGUCAAACACCUGCAGAAGAGGAGGGGAAUCGACGACUCACGUGGGAGUAGACGAUUCGGGCUCCUUGGUUGCUCUAGUGUGGAGUGUGAGUCAAGAGAGUAAGUCAUGGAUGGAGGACACCCCUAGGACCCCUUUUAUAGGGUCCUAGAGGCGUUUCCAUUCAAUGGAGUGGGGCCCACCUCAUUAUGGUGCCCUAUUGAAGGGUGCCAUAAUGGGGUGGGCCCGCCCGCGUAACGGUUGGGAGUCGCCGAUCCAGGAGUGGAGUCGCCGAUUCCUUGGAGGCCAAGUCCUCGGUCUACCAGACCCGAGAUCCCUGGCCGGAAUCGGCGAUUCACCCUUGGAGUCGGCGACUUGGUAGUCCCAGUCGGCGACUCCUAAGUGUUAACUUGGGCUUUUGACGUAGACACGUGCUUCGCACCGUGGAAGCCUUUCCAGGGGUCCGGCAUAUAGUGACGGAACCCUAUUCCUUGUUUGAAGGGCGUUGCUGGGAGUGACUGACGUAAUCAGGCAUGUCUCACCAGUACUCCCCCCUGAAGAGAGUAUGGCUGAACACCCGUGUACCGCCAGUAUCCCCCCCCAAGCAAGGUGAUCCGCAUCAAGGCCAAAGCGACAAGAUGGGAUCGAAUCAAUGUGGCCACAGCGACACAAUGACUCCGUUACCCAUGCACUAUUAGAUGGGUUGAUUCACUAUCAGAAUCUAGUUCCAGGCCAAUAGAACUACGUGUUUAUAGUCCAACUCUGAUCAGGAGCGACUCUUUCUGUGUUAUCAUCAAGGCCGAAGCGACAAGAUGAAGGGAGAUUAUUAAGGCCCAAAGCGACAAAAUAAUUCUCAUCCAUUAAGGCCAAAGCGACAAAAUGAAGCGACUCGCUAUCAGAGUCUGAUUCUGACCAAAGCGACAGAAUGCGUGGAUCCUGGCCAAAGCGACAAGAUCUAGUUCACUAUCAGAACUGAUGUUUAUAGUCCACCCUGAUCAAGAGCGACUUUACGUCCGCAACGACGGUUACCCCACUAAGGUCGAAACGACAAAGUGGGUCGAGAUCAUUAAGGCCAAAUCGACAAAAUGAUCUCCAAGUCUAUCAAGGCCAAAGCGAUAAGAUAAGAGAAUUAUUGAGGCCAAAGCGACAAAAUAAUUCUUGGUCCAUUGAGGCUAUAGCGACAAAAUGGACUGACUCGUUAUUAGAGUCUGAUUUUGGCCGAAGCGACAGAAUGCGUGGAUCCUGGCCAAAGCGACAGGAUCGUUCCUGCAAAACAACUACAUCAGUCUAAAGGAUAUAUUUAUUGACUUACUGACCUUGCCGUGCGGGGCUGCUCCUCGUGCUGCUCCUUCCUAUGCUCAAUAAAUCCUCGAUUGAUCUGGCCGAAGCGACAGAUCUAUCAUGCUCAUGGUGUGACAGCUUCUGGCCAAAGCGACAGAAGUGUCGGGAAGAGUUUAUGAUACUCCCCCCCGAAUUUGACAACUUCUGGCCAAAGCGACAAGAGUGUCGGGACGAGCUUAUGAUACCCCCCCUUGAGAUCAUUAAGGCCGAAGCGUCAAAAUGACCCCUGGUCUACUAAGGCCGAUGCGACGAAGCAGACCGACUCACUAUCAGAGUCUGAUUCUGACCAAGGCUACAGAUCCACUAUCAGGAUCUACCAACCUCUUAUUCAUGACUGUUCCCUUAUUGGCAGGAACAUUGCCUCGAUGGCGCAGGCCAAUAGCAUGUCCAAUCAGAUGUAAAGCCACUGAGUGCAGAUCUAAGGAAUUCUGAGGACGAGGAGGAGUAUCGCCUUUUGCCCAAAUCUCUCCUGAAUCAAAAGUGAGCUCUACUUGCGGACUUGGAGGAGCCGUGGCCGAAGCUACAUGAGGUCCAGGUAUUGGCAAGAAUUGAAGAACUAUGUUGGCCUGACUUUUCACCGAUGUCUGUGAAUAAAAUAUCGAUUAGAUGAGUAUUAUAUUGUUGAUGAUAAUUAUGUUACGUUAUAAAUAAAUAUGUAGAUGAGUAUUAGGAACUUACAAUUGCAAAAUUUACACACGUCUGAGCUUCCCAUGUAUCGAAAGCCUUUGUAAAUAUGUUUUUGCAGAUGUAAAAUGGAAAAGGACAAGUCGGAUCGAUGUAGAACUUCACUGUACCACACCCCCAUUUUGCACAAAAAGGAGUGAAGUCGUUAUUGACUGCACUACAGGUUUGUCCAGAUGAUGUUGUUAUGGAUGCGAGGAGGAAGAAACCAAGGAAGACAAGAUAUGACAUGGUGAAUUAAUGACUAGAAUUUAGUUUCAAGCUUUGGGAAAUUGUGUUGUGUUUAAACUCAUCAUACACACCCAUAUUUAUACAACUUUUUUACAAUGUGAAUUUAAUGAGUUGAGUAUAAAAUAUAGCCAUGUUCAAUGUAUAUUAAAACUUUUAUAAAAUUCAAAUGUAUCUGAGGAUCGUAUUAAAAAGAAUAUGUACGAUGAAUAAUUUGUGGACAUGCAUAUAUAUAUUUUCGUAACACAACUUCAAUCCGCAUAAAGUUAACGAUCUUAUCUUAAAAAAAUUGGUUGUAUUUUAAAUACAUAUUAUAAUUAUGUUUAUUAUACAAAAUUAAAUUUUAUUAUAUUUUAAGCAAAAUAAAUUACAAUUUAAUUAUAUACUAUUUUCUGAUAAAAUCGAAAAAAUAUCGCCAUUGACUGCACUACAGGUUUGUCCAGAUGAUGUUGUUAUGGAUGCGAGGAGGAAGAAACCAAGGAAGACAAGAUAUGACAUGGUGAAUUAAUGACUAGAAUUUAGUUUCAAGCUUUGGGAAAUUGUGUUGUGUUUAAACUCAUCAUACACACCCAUAUUUAUACAACUUUUUUACAAUGUGAAUUUAAUGAGUUGAGUAUAAAAUAUAGCCAUGUUCAAUGUAUAUUAAAACUUUUAUAAAAUUCAAAUGUAUCUGAGGAUCGUAUUAAAAAGAAUAUGUACGAUGAAUAAUUUGUGGACAUGCAUAUAUAUAUUUUCGUAACACAACUUCAAUCCG